UUUUUUUUUUUUUUUUUUUUUUUUUUUUGUCAAACUGAGGUGACUUCCUUAAUUACUAGUUUACUACACAAUUAGCUAACGUAAUGUGCCUUUUACUUUUCUUGCAGCUACAUUACGGUGAGAAUUUUGCUUAUUUUUUCACUAAUUUUUUUAUUUUUAUUUAUUUAUUUAUUUUGAAAGAUUUCAGCCACCAGCGGUGAGAUCUUACAUGAUCUACUUAGUGUAGCUGGAAGGACUGCUAGUACGUUUUCCAUUUCCUUUUUCCGUGACCAAGACAGAUCUCAGCAUGCAGUGUAUAUCCUUAAAGAAUAACUAGUCACAAAUGAUUAACAAAACUUGAACUUAGGAGGUGUUUCAUUUGCACUUCGGAAUCGGCAUCUGCAUUGGAAUGAUAGAGAAAUGAAGUGGGGAUUGGGGAAUGAUAUCAUGAUGAACAUAUUUUUCAGACAAACUCUACUUUGCACCUUUAAAUUUGUAUCACUUUUUCACUUUGCAUUCUAAAUUUUACUUUUGGAUAUUUUGUACCAUAAAUUCUCAAUUUUGUUGCAUUUAUGUCCAAUCAAUAACAAUGUUAGCAAGAUUAACGGAUAUAGAGAACUCUGGAAAUCAAUGAUAAUUUGCUGAAAGUAGUCUAAAGAAGCUAAGAUAUCACAUUUACAACAAAAUGAUAUAUUGACAUUAAUUUGCAUUGUCUUUUAUUGUAUAAAUUUUGACAACAAUACUAAUGUUUAGGACAAACAAAUCGAUGAUAAUAUGCCGAAAGUAAUCAACAGAACCAAUAAUCGUCCGCAAUUAGAAUAAAAUGAUAUAUUGUCAUUAAUUUGUACCAUAAUUUAUCUCGUUAAUUUUGCUAAUGUUGUUAUUGAUUGGAUUUAAAUGGGACAAACUUGAUAAUUUAGGUGUAAAGUAUCUAAAAUUGAGAGUAUAGGAUGCAAAGUGUUUAAAAUUAAAGUUUAGAGUGCAAAAUGAGAAAGUGGUACAAGCUUAGUAGUGCAAAGUGAAAUUAGUCCUAUUCUUCCGUUAGUGUUAGAUUUUAGAGGGGAUUGAUAGUUAGGGUCUUCCAGCCUUACAGGCAACAUUAACAGACUCCCUGCCAAUCUUCAUGACUGAAAUCUAAUUUAGAGGGUAUUGGUACAUGUUUGGUUGAAUUUAAAAAGCCGAAGUAGGAUUAUGCAACUUCAAUCGGUUUGGAAGAUGCACAAGCAAAGCGUUGUCCUGUAAAUUGUACAGAGUGCUGGUUGAGUGGAUGGUUGCUUAUUCUGAAACAUGGCUUUAUACCAUAAACAGUUCCAAGAAUGUUAGUUAUAUGGAUAUUUUUUUUUUUUUUUUGUAAGCAGGAGGAUUCGAACCCGAGACCUCUUACUUACACUCCCUCCCCCGUACCACCCAACACAUCCCUCCCCCAAGUUAUAUGGACUUGGUUGAGACGUACACAGCAAAUUAUACCAAAAGCAGGUUUAACCAGACACUAUAUACCUCCACAUACAAAACUGGAAAAUGAAUAAGAAAAUUCAAAGAUAUGUGGAAGAGAUAAAAUUGUAGAAUGUCAGCUUUUAAAAUUACAUGUACCAGGAGAAUAAUGCUGCAAUUCUACAGAAUAAUCUUAUUUCUCUCUCCCCACUAAAAAAAAUAAAAAUAAAAAAACCACAUUUCAAUUCUGAAGCACAUUUGAGUUGUUUCAAUGAAUGUAUCAUUUUUGGAUUGUGAUAGUUUCAAAAACCUCCCUUGAGAUUUUUAACAAUUUCAUUUAGUACCUCUUAGAUUUCAAAAAUUACACCUACCUCCCUUACCCAUUUAAAAUGACAAUACGAACCUUAAUAUUUUAAUAAAACUCCCUUAUUUUCAUGUUUAUACAAGGGAUGGAUUUUAUAAUUUUUCCUUUUUUCUUCUUAUUCGUUUCUCUUAUAUUUUAUUAAAAAUAUAGAAGAACGACAAAUGUUGUCUCUAACCUCUAUCCCAAUCAAAUGUUAAACUAGUAAUAUUUUUUUGGUAACUUUUAAUAUCAUCCAAUUUUUUGUUAGCUCUUUUUUUUUGUAUCAAAAUCAAUAAUAAAUAAAUAAAAACUAAAACAAAUGGCUAAAAAUCAGUACCAAACUAUGGUAGUUCCAUUAUUGCACUAAUCCAUAAACUUUUCUUUAAAAAAAAACUAGUCCAUAAAUUUAAAAACAAACAACAACACUUUCUUCUGGAUUUUAAAAGGAAUCUAUAUCCCUAAUAAAACAAUAUGAAAAAUAGCCUAUUAUAGAAAAAGAUUUAUUGUUAUAAUCAAACAAAAAAUAUUGGCAUAAAAAAAUGACACUCAUUCCUUUUAUAAUUGUGCCAAAUUACUUUACAAUUGUUUAGAAGAAUAAAUUAAAUAUUAUAAGAUAAGGGCAUUUUAGAAUAUUCACUAAAAUUUUGACCUAUUUUAAGGUUUGGUUACCUAAGUGUCAAAUCAAGGGAGGUAAGUGUAAUUUUUAAAACUUUGAGGGAACUAAAUGAAUAGUCAGAGACCUUAGGGGACAUUUAUGAAAUUAUUCCUUUAUUUGACGUAAACUAUUAAUACUUCACGUGAUUUGUAUGUGGUUAUGUUAUCUGAAAUUCAUUCUUUUAUCAAAUAUUGAUUGUCAAUGUCAUAUUACAAUAUUUGCAUCUGAACUAGCUAAUUUUUUAAUAGUUUCUUUUAAUGUUUUAAAUUUUUUAACGAUUGAUUGUUUUAAUUUUUUUAACAAUUGAUUGUUGAAAAGUCAUAGGUCUAAAAAUUUUCAAACUUCUCUAAAUUACGAGGAUAAUUAAUAGUUUGAACUUUGACACACAAAUACUAAUAGUAUCAUAAUUUAUCAAGUUCAUUUUAGAUUCACAAUGUCAUUACGUUUAUUAAAUCAUAAAAUUAUAGUUUGUUAUACACAAAACAACGAUGUUAAAAGUCGUACAAGGAAACAACAAACAAUGUUUACAUAUAGUAAAGGCUUAAAUUGUAAAUCAAUUUCUAGAGUGAUUUUAGAGCAAAUUAAUUGGCCUUUCAAUUCAUGCCAUUCCUGGUUACUGUUUACGAUGUGUAAUCUUUGGAUUGAAAGUAAAACUCAUUAAGUCUAUGACGAAUUAUUGAAAAAUAAAAUAUAACCAAAAUACCAAGGACUUUGCCACAAUAAUAGAUAUUUUAAAUGCUAUAUAUAUUAUUUAUACCUCUAUCUACUUUUUUGGCUAAGUGAAAAAUUAAAACAAUGUUAGUAAAAUGGGGUUAUAGUUUUUUCUUUUUUCGGGACUUGGGUGGCUAGAAAGGGUCUCAAGGAUCUCAGUGGCUCUUUUAGCUCUGUUACUCCUGUUGGCAUUCUUAAACUCAUCUUGGCUAGCUUAUCAGUUCUUGAGGUACUCUCCCUCCACGAAUAAGUUACCUUGCAUAUCCUCUAUCCAAUCUGUCCUGCGCCAUCCCAAUUAAAUUGAAGUGUGGGCUUUUUCGAUUCACUUCAUUAAUCAGCUGAAUGCCCACUCUGGAAUUUGAUUAAAUUAUUACUUUUUUCACACCCUUCUCCCAUGCUAGAUCAAGGCCAUGAAUUAUUGCCCAAAGCUCCGCUGCAAUGUUGCUGGUUAUUUUAAUAUUUACUGCAAAUCCACCUAUCCAACAGCCUGAAUCAUCCCUUAGCAAGCCUCCUGUUUCCUAGGAUUUCUUGCUGAUGUCCUAUCCACGUUUAACUUAGUCCACCCAUUUGGAGGUUUUUCCCAUCCAAUGAAUCUUAGUUCUUUUUGGCCUUCAGGCAGUAUAUUUGUUUUAGAGUUCAGCACCUGUCUUGUCUGGUCCUGAUCCUUAGGGCAUUUGCAACAGAGUGUAAUGUUGCGUGAAAUGUCUGCCAUGACACGGGUCCAUUACACGACCACUCAUUGUGGCCGUGUAAUGCCUAUUACACGCAUUAUUCUGAUGAUGCGUGUAAUUGGUGGGCCAGUGUCAAAAUUUAGCAAUAACAAAAUUUAUACCAGUAAUGUUAAAGUUAGUAACGUUCAUUUUUUUUCCCAAUAGUUAUGUUUUAAUUCUCUAUAUUAACACACAACACACUCGGUAUUUUUUAUAUCCUAUUAUUCUACUCUAUUAUUUCUUUUACUCUCUCACUAAUUUUCCUCUACCUCUUUGCACAAUUUUUUAAAAUUUCAAUAUUUUGUGAUUAUGGAUGAGAAUUUUAGUAGUUUUACAAAUAUGUUAAAUGCUCCAAAUAUAGAAAAUUCAUCCUCCUCACAAAAUCAAAACCCCCAAAAUUUUUCAAAUUACCCAUAUUACCCAUUUUCUAGUAUUACUACAAAUGUGCAAAAUCAUGCAUAUCCCAUAAAUUUACCCACUUCCAAUCAUCCAUCAAAUUUCCAAAAUCUACCAAAUUUUUCAUAUCAAAUUCCCAUGUAUCCUCCACCUACUUAUUUUAAUCUAAAUACGGGAAAUCACUACACAUUAGGGUAUUAUAACCUUAGUAUGGGUUGUGGAGGCUCAAAACUCCGUCGGAGAUAAGGAAGGAUUUUGAUUUUGCCGGCCAACAAGAAAAUGUUGCAUCAACGCAAUCAAUGUCGGACUCUCAAUUUCCACCAUAUUUAACACAACAUGGGGUGGAUAACAUUACUUCCACCAUAUUCCUACAAUGUCGGACUCUCACCAAUGGGGUGGAUAACAUUAUUUUUUUAGAAAAUAAAUAAUCCAAAAGGUAAAAAAUUUAAUGAAAGUUAAUACUUUAUUUUUAAAAAAUUACUUUAUUUAUUUAUGGGAUAUGAGUUAUGCAUUAUUAAAAUAAAUGUUUGAUUUAAUUGUGGACCCAUACUAUUACACAUUGUGGAGUGUAAUCCAUUGUGAGUGGAAGUAUAAUAAAAGAGGAGAAAGUGAAAUACUGACAUGGCAUGUGAAUUACACUCUAAAGAGUAUAAACUAUUGUGGAUUCUCUUAAAAUGAAAUUCUCCAGACCCAGCAUUGUUUCUUGACGUAUUGCAUAAUACUCCAUCUGCUGAAACAUGAUUUGCCAAUUAAGUUCCUCAUCUAUUCCCCAAUUUUGCCCUUUCAAGUUCCAAUCAAUCCAUUCCUGUAUGUUUCCCCUUUGCUUAAAAUCUAUCUAGUGCUUGGGGUGUACUAAGGGGCUGCUUGGUUAAAGGGUUUGGGAAUCAAAUAAUGGAAUGAACCCCUUAUUUGUUGCUUGGGUUAAGUCUGUUGGAAUGCAAUUUCUGGAAUCAUUUCUAAAAAAUCGGACUAUCACCAUUCCUGAGUAAAUUGGGAGGUUUUGGACAAAACCCUCAACUCAUUCCCGAGCAAAAACAUUUAUGACGAACCUACCCUCUUUUUUUCUUCAUUACACGCUGCACCUUCUGUUCUUCUUCUCCAUCAGAUUUUCUACCUCUUCUACUUCACCGGUUGGACAACCAUAAAGAUCAGUGGCUUUCGACUCUCCUUGGACAACGAAUUCUAGAGUUGAAGAGUCUUCUACUAGGGUGAAUUCCUUGAUCCCAGGUCAGUGGAUUACAAACUCCCUUGCCUCUGCAAUUUUCUUUUCGUAUGCAAGCUUUUCUCUUUCUUCUUCUCUGUUUUUUCAGGUUACUCAUUGGGUAGCUGAAAAUAAAGAAGAAAAGAAGGGAAUCUGAUACAAUAACACUAACUGGACCAAAAUGCUAUGCUCUGGAUCCAUCACCUUCUCACUUUUAUUCCACUCAUGCUACACAAUCUGUCAGUUUUGUAAAAAAGUCUUCCUUCCAUGAAUUCAUAUUCUUUUGUCACAAAAUCCAAUAAGAAAUUAUUUCCGCAACAAAUACACUAUUAUUGGUGAGAAUAAUACAUGUUUUUAAUCCAUGUAUUUUGUUGUAGUACAUGUAUUUUAAUUCACUUACUUCAACAAAUACAUUAUUUUGUUCUUUUUUUUGGUGAGAUGAAUGUUAAUGUCACUAGAUUUGUCAUUUUUAUGUUUUUAAUGUGUUUUCUUGGAUUACGCAUUCAAUGGAGGUCAAUCAAUUCUUGAUCUUUUGGUUAUUUGAUCCGUGAAUACUGGUAUAGUUUGGGUGGGUUUCUACAUGCCCUGUACCUGUUUGUAAAAUUGUCUGCUUGAAUAGCUUUCAGUUUCAUAGUUAUUCGUACAUUAGGAUUUCAAGUUUCAACCAUCAAUUUCGUUUGUUUAUGCUUAUUUAUAUCUAUACAUCAUUGUGUUUACGGAUGUAUGAUGCAUGUCUAGGCCCUUUUAAUAAGAUCAAUUGAUGUUUAAUGCAUUUGAAGAUUUUGAUGCCGUAAUCUAGUUUGGUGAAUACUUACAUUUGGUUGUCAUAUUGUUAUGUAGACAAAGAUGCCACGUUUGCCUAUUGAAAACAGAAGACGCAAAAAAUAUCGAGGGCAAAGCCAGAUUUUAUCAGGAAUGAUAAUGGUUGUUAUUGCACUAUUUAUGAUGUGGUACCAGUUAAUAUUCAUACAUCUCAAAAGUAGAAGACGCCAAAUAAAAUCAAAAGAAGAAAAAGUCACUGAGCGCAUGCAACACUUAUUCAAUUUGACUAGGGAGAGUGAUGCUUAUUGUAUUAGCGAACUUCGUAUGGAUAGACGAACAUUUGGGAUAUUAUGUGAAAUGAUUAGAGACACUGGAGGUUUGAAAGCUACAAGAAACAUGUCAAUAGAAGAAAUUGUUGCCAUGUUUGUAUAUGUUUUGGCUCACCACAAGAAAAGUAGAACAAUUUGUGGUCUAUUUUGGAGAAGUAGAGAAACGGUGAGUCGUCAAUUUAAUCUUUGCCUCCUAGCAGUUUUGAAAUUGCAUACUAUAUUACUUAAGAAGCCUGAGCCUAUUACCGAAGAUUGCACAGAUGAGAGAUGGAAAUGUUUUAAGGUAAUUCAAACAUUAAAAUACAAUCAUUUAAUAAAAUGUAUGUUUUCAUCUAAACUAUCCAAUAUAGACAUUUUAACUCAUUUAUAUUUUUAUUUUUGUUAAAAUAGAAUUGUUUAGGUGCCUUAGAUGGGACAUUAAUAGAUGUGACACCACCCACCGAACAAAAAUCAAGAUACCGAACGAGAAAAGGAAGUAUUGCAACGAAUGUAUUAGGGGUUUGUUCUCCUAAUAUGCAAUUUAUCUAUGUCUUGCCUGGUUGGGAAGGUUCGGCACAUGAUGGUCGUGUGCUUCGAAAUGCUAUCUCUAGACCAAAUGGUUUUAGAGUCCCACAAGGUAAACAUAUAUUGCAGUAUUCAAUACCAUUCAAUCAAUUUUUUUUCGAAAAUAAAGUAGUCUAGUAUUAAUUUGUACAUGAUUGAAUUUUGAAGGUUGUUAUUACUUGGUGGAUGCUGGAUAUUGUAAUGCUGAUGGAUUUCUUGCCCCUUAUCGAGGGCAAAGAUACCACCUUAAUGAAUUCAAUGGUUAUCGACCACAAAGACCAGAUGAAUAUUUCAACAUGAAACAUUCUAAAGCUAGAAAUAUCAUAGAAAGAUGUUUUGGAUUGCUAAAAGGAAGGUGGAAGAUUCUAGCAUCCCCUUCAUUUUUUCCAAUUCAAACACAAGUGCGAAUAAUUAUGGCAUGUUGUCUGCUGCACAACUUGAUAAGGAAGUUCAUGACUUUUGAUCCACAAGAAUUACUACAAUGUGAAGAAAAUGAAAGUGAAGAUGAAGACAGUGAUGAAGAAGUAGAGUACAUAUCCACUAUUUUACCAAGUGAUCAAUGGGCAAAUUUUAGAAAUAAUUUAGCACAUGAAAUGUUUGACAAUUGGAGGGCUGGACUUAGUAUUUAGCUAUGAAUGGAUGUUUAGCUCUUAGACUCAUUAAAUUUGGAUUGACAUUUGAUGUACUCUUGUAGUGGAUUUGUGAAUUAGAUUGACACUUGAUGUAUGUUCUUUUAAAUUUGGAUUGACUUUUAAUUGUAUGUUCUUUUAUGUGUUUUAUUAUAUUAUAAAUUUCAGUUAUAUGCUAUUGUGUAUCAAAAUUAAUUGAUAUAUAUGGGUUGACUUCUGAAUGAUAGGAUGGAGAAUGAUGAAAUUGUACGUGGAAGAGGGAAAAAUAAAUGUUUUUGGACUGGUGAAGAAGUAAAAGUGCUCAUAGAAUCAUUGCAAGAGUUGGCUUGUGAUCCAAUGUGGAAAUCAGAUGGAGGAUUUAAAAAUAAUUAUAUGAGCGAAUUGCUUAAAAUUAUCUUGCGUAAGCAACCUACUUUUACCAAACAAGUCAGCCCACAUAUUUAAUCAAAAGUUAAGUGGCUGAAAAAUAGGUUCCAUGCAAUUGUUGAAAUGUGCAAAGAAAGUGGUUGUAGUUGGAAUGAUGCUGAGAAAAAGAUUUCUUGUGAAAAACAGUGGUAUGAUGAUUGGUGCAAGGUAAGAAAUUGAUUACUUUUUACAUUCUGAUAUGUUCUUUUUCAACCUUUUAUUAAGAUUAUCAUUUAUCUUUCUAUUCUAUCUCUAGACUUAUAAGGAUGCGAAGGGCCUUUGGGAUGUCAAAUUUCCAUAUUUAGGAGAUCUUGAAAUUGUAUAUGGAAGAGACAGAGCCACUGGAAAUGUUGCUGAAGAUUUUGCACAAGCUGUCCAAGAUAUGGAAGAUGUCCAAAAUUUGGAGGAAGGAGAUGAAGGGCUUGAUGCUAUGUAGAUCUGGCAAUUUGUCCCAAGUCCCAAUGGGCUACCCAUGCCCAAAGGAACUUUGGGCGGGAUGGGUAUUAUAAUUUGGUAUUGGGUUUAAGUUGGGACACAUCCCAACUAUACCCAUUAAUGAAUGGGAAAGGAUGGGAAAUACUUGGGUAUCCAUUGGGCUCAAAUGGCAAGGGCUCCGUUUGGAUUAGCUGUUUUUGGUAGGUGUUUUUGAAAUAUUUUAUUGUAGCCGUGUAUAUGAAAAAUUUUUACUAUAAAAUUUUUUUGAAAUAUUUGAUAUACUAAUAUGGAUGGGAUGUUUCUUGAGUUAUUGUAUAUUACUGUAACAUUGUAUUUGAAAAACUUAUUUUUUGAAAAAAUAGUCAAUCCAAACGGAGUCUUAGAUUCAAAAAUUAUCUUUAACAAUUUUUAUAGUCAUACCAGCGAAUAUAAUCUAGUAGUCUUUCUAGUCAUUAUCCACAAGAAUUUCCAGCAUUUCAGUUAGUUUAGACCUGUCAUCCUUGGACAAUGAUGAGGAUAAAUAUUCAACAUCCUAAGGACCUUGGCCAUCUUGAUAUAUGUUGGAAUAUGGCUGUAUAUCUAUCUUUUCCUUUAUUUGUUAAUCCAAUUUUUGGUGGGAAUCUUGAGUAUAAAGCACUUGCAUGUUUAUUUAAUAAAACUAAAAGAAAUUUAAUAAAUCAAAAAUAUUAAAAUUAUAUAAAAAAUAAAAAAUGAAUUAAAGGAAAAAAAUAUGUAGAAAAUGAAUUUGGGUAUUGGCCGGGAUGAAUCUAAACCCAUUCCAAAAUGAUCCCGCCCAAGUUAGUCCCAAAACACAUAUGGGUAAGGUUGGACCCAAACCCAUAUGACUCGGUUCCAUCUCAAACCCAAGCAAAUCCCGCCCAUCCCGCCCAUUUUGCCACCUCUAAUGCUAUGUCAAACUCGGAUAAUGAUAAGGUAGAAGAAGAUGAAGUAAAUUCCAUGGAGCAAUCAACUCAACCAAGCUCAACAAGUACAAGAAAUUCCAAGAAACAAAAGAAAUAAUCCCCUCCCAUUGCAAAUGUGUCAAAAAAAAUGAAAUCUGCAUCAACAACUAGGGGUGAUCUUGAUGCAUCAUUGCAACUUCUCACCAGCAAAUUUGGAGAUUUUGUGGAGGGAAUUCAAGCUAAUUUCACAACUAUGGCAGCAGCCAUGUCAAAUGAGGAUAAACAUGAGCAAUUGGUCUCCGAUAGAAGAGAUCAAGUUGUUGCUGAGUUAAUGAAACUUGCUUUACCGAGUGGAGAUGUGAUGAAUGCAGCCGACAUAUUUUCAGAGCAGAUUUCCAAGCUUCAUGUGUUCUACAAUCUUCCUGCAGAAAUGAAACGACAAUAUGUAAUUAACCUCCUUUAUCCUCCAUCUACUCGCUGAAGUAAAAUUAUUGUUAGCUGGAAAGUGAUGAUUUGAUGGCAAUUUCUUUUUGUUAUGGUGAUUGUUAGAUGGUUAUAUGAUUAGUCUUUUGGAGAUUGUGGACAUUGAGUGGCACUCUCGACUGGAUUAGACAAUUGACUUGUAUUUGGUAUGGUUAGCUUUUGUGAUUUGAGUCUCCUUCUUUUGUUCAUAUAUGUAAGGAGAGAUCUAUUUCAUAUCAUUAUCUAAUGUAGGAACCACAAAUGACUUGUUAAUGGAGUAAAUUUCCAAAAAGAAAGAGUUUUUAAACUAACUUCCUAAAGGCUGGCAAUUUUUGAGUCUCUUCCCAAAGGGUGAAAAACACAUUCAAGAAAUGCGUUCUUCCAAAUAAAAAUGCAACUUUCAAAUACGUUAUUUUAAUUUUCGUAAAUUUGUUUAAAUAUAAAAAAUUGGUUAAAUAGCGUAUUAAAUACAAAACCUGCUAAUUUCCCAUAAAGAGCUGGUAUCUUAUGAGUAAUUUCUUUUUUUUUUUUUACUUUCACAUAUUUAAUUUAUAUUAAAUACAAAACAUACUAGUUUUCCUUUGGGCGCUAUUUAAUCUAUUUUUUCCAUAAAGAGUUGGUAUGUUUUCAAUAAAGAGUUGGUACAAAACAUAUUACAAAACCUGUCAGUUUCCCUUAAAGAGUUAGUAUCUUAUGAGCAAUUUUGUUUUUUUAACUUUCACAUAUUUAAUUUAUGUUAAAUACAAAACAUACUAGUUUUCCUUUGGGCACUAUUUAAUCAAUUUUUUCCAUAAAGCUGGUACAAAACCUGCCAGUUUUCCAUAAAGAGCUGGUAUCUUAUGGGCUAUUUAACCAAUUUUUCAUAUUUAAACAAAUUUCCAAAACAUAAAAUAACGUAUUUGAAAGUUGCGUUUUUAUUUGGAAGAACACAUUCCUUGGAUGCAUGUUUCACCCUUUGGGAAGAGACUCAAAAAUCGUCACCUUUUGGAUGAUUGUUUAAAAACUCCUUUUUUUGGGAAUUUACUCCUUGUUAAUGCAGCCACUAUAUUUAUUUUCUGGUAUUAAUUUUUUUAUUAUUUAUGAUUUUCUUAUGUUUUAUCAAAAAGUUAAUAACUAUUGUAGUUACAAUUAUGAAAAUGUUAAUUUGUCGUAUGUGUAAUUCUUUUGUUUUAGAAGAAUUGUUAUAUCAGGGGAAAAUUUGGAAUUUAAUUGCAUUUAAUUCCGAAACACUCAGCAAACCAAGCAUCAGGAAUUGGAAUAAUGCUAAUUCCAAUGUGUGAACCAAGCAAGAUAUUGGAAUGAAAAAUUUUAAUUCCAAAACCAAAGUCUAUGAUUCCAAUUACAAUUCCAAUUCCUAAGCUUGAACCAAGCGCCCCCUAAUUUUUUCCAUGCCUCUGCCACCCAUGUGCUUGGAGUGUACUAAUCUUAUAUAUAUUUUGAUAGUAUAUAUACCCUAGAACCUUUGAUUGCAUAACAUUAAAAAAAAAAUGAAAUGGAGAUUUAAAUGGAAACUAUAAAGAUGACCAAAUGGAAGACCAAGGAAAGAAGAUACCGAUGGAGUGGGUAUCCAGUUCACCAAUUUGAAAGGGUGGAGUACACAAUAGACCAAAGGAAAUUCAGCACGGAAGACAAGUCUAGUUCCAAACCACUUAAAAUAUUUAUACUUGUAAAUAAUAGAACUAAGCAUGUUGUAGAAAUUAGAUAACUAUACAGAAAUACAUUAUUCUUUCUUACACUAUCAGUGUAAAAUAUUUUUCUACAAUUGAAGUUAGAUGAAAAACACAUUGCCGUUAUUCAAAUUUAAAUUCUCAUUUUUCAUUUAUUGGUAUGUAUUUAGUCUCAUUAGUAUAUUAAAAAAAUUCAUGUGAGAAGGUGUAAGAAAAUUAACUCGAGAAAUUAACUUUAAAUUGGUCAAGGGGGUAUGGGGAAGGCAAGAGAGAGAUGCUAGAAGUCAGGUUUAUAUAACUUGAAGCAGUUAAAUCGAAAUUAGAUCUAGUUAGGUUUGUAAUUUGUAUCAUAUUAAUUGCAUUAGGUAGCACUUGCUGUUGCCUUUUGAUUUGAGGAAAACCCCCCAUGAAAUUAAACUACAAAGUAGGCUCAUCAUGUUCCUUGUCCAUUUGUAAACCAUAAAAAUGGAUCGCACUUAAAAUCACUGCUAAGUUAACAUUAAAUCGAUCUGUCGACAUUGGUUUUCUCUGUUCAGUAUAAAAUUGAAAUUAAAUUGAAAUUGGAAAUGAAUUUAUAUAAAUCGGUUCAUCAUUCUAUUUAUUUUCAUAUUUGGUACAGAAACUUAAAAAUAAAUGUGGUUAACUCAAAAAAAUCGAUUUUCUCCAUCUGCACUAAUUAAAUUACUAUUAAUUAUUUAUAUCAUGUGAUUUAUUAAGUGUAUUCAUGCAAACACAAAUCAGCUAUUCAUAAACUCUAAAGAAGUACCAUCAUAUGAAUAUUAUGACAUGUGUCCAUACAAAUUGUAUAUGGUAAGAAGUAAGCACACUAACACAAUUUGUCAUAAGUAAUAAAGUAGUAGACAUUAUUACAACUUUAUCUAUAUUAAUUUGCAUUAUUUAGUUUUUUUGUAGAAGAAAGGUCGUAAUAGAUGUAUUCAUAAUUAAUAACAUAGUGAAUAUUCACUAAUCAAUUUGUACAUGUAAAUAUAUGUUUUAAUAAUAAGUUUUUUUGAAGCAUGUUUUAAUAAUAAGUUGUAACAUAGGCAUAAAAAUAAACAACAUCAAUAUUAUGUAUUCAAGAAAAAAUAAAUAAGUAAGAAUCAAAAUCGGUUUCUGUUUAAAAUUGAAGUUGAAAAUUCGAUACCAAAUUUGGAAUUACAUUUUAAACAAAAUUAUUUUGAAUUGAAUUAACUGAAAUCGGUUCACCAAGAUCAACUUAAGUCAAUAUGAAAUUCUUUUAACCUUACCGCUGUUCUUCAAGAUCAAGUCAUGUCCUCAUAAACUCCAGUUCUUUAUUGACAUGCUUAAACAAAAAUACUAGACUAUAAAUGUACAAGGACAAUUAUUGUUGUAUCAUUGAUAAUAAAGUUUUUUUAGUGAUUAGACAAAUAACAUGCUCACAGCAGAAGUAGUAAUAACAUGGUGGCUUCACCAUUAGGCCACAUUACUCUUCUGGGUUUUUUAUUUAGUAAUAACAUGGUGGCUUGGAUAUUAAACUCAAACACUGCCCUUCACAGCAGAACUAUAGCCGUUCUGUUUGUCAUUGUAUCGAUCGUAAAGCAUGAUCCCACCAUAUUUUGAUGAUGAUUUUUUCACGAACGGCAGGACCUUUGAUUUUAGAACUUGUUCUGGAACAAAACCACUUUUAGCAGCCAUCUUUGAAGCCGGAAGUCCAACAAAAAAUUGAUUUGCUUUUAUUGAUGAUGUCCAUUUCUUCCAUGAAUUUUCGAAGUUGUUGGGACUGCUAGAAGUGUACUCACACAUAGGAUUAUUGUAGAACUGGAUCCAUACGUAGUCAAAGAGUCCAGUGCUAAGGGCAGCAUUGAGUUUCUUAUCAGGAAAUGGACACUGUGGUGAUGCAGUUAAGUACACUUUUUUGCCUUGCUUGCUGUAACCAGACAAUGCUUGAGCCAAAGCAGCAUAAUAAGAUUGGCCUUGGCCAAGUUCAAUAUCGAAGUCGAUACCAUCCAAAACAGCAUCACCUAGUGGUCUUGAAUUUGAUUUGCCCCCUAAAAAGUUGUUCCACAGAUAAUCUGCCACUUGCUUGGCAUCAUUGGCUGAUGAUAAAGAAUAGCUCCCGUUGCCACCGCCAAUUGAGAGCAUGACCUUAAUUCCUUGGCUUUGACACUGGCGAAUGUUCUCGCUUAAUUUUUUACAGUCCCCAGAUGAAGGCUCACAAUGACCAGCUAGGUUCAGCUUAGGAGUUUGACCAUUGCCAAAAGUUGGGAGGAAGGCUAUGUUAACAACCCGAUACAAUCCAGAGGAACAUGUAUCGCGCAAGGUGCCUUCCAUUACAUUUUGGCCCCAGUAGACCACAAUGACUCCACAUUCUGAAGUCAAGACGAGGGAAAAGAUUGUAGAGACUAUUAUUAAAGCAAUUGAAUGAACUUUGAGAUUCAUCAUUUGGUGGAAUAUGGUUUGUGAAGACUGCGAUGAACCAAGGGACUCAGGACUGCGCUUCUUAUAGGAAGGGAUUUGAAGUACUCUUGAAGUGGUUUGACGAAUUUGGAUCCUCCGUCAAAUUUUUAACGUCACACUCCAUAUUACACCAUGUAUAGAAGGUUUGUGAAAUAUUUAAAGCAGGUUCACCUUGAUACAUGGUGUAAUUGGGGGUAUAAUACUAGAGAAGACGGUAUUUUGACAGUUUUUCAAUUGACAAUUCUUGUUCAAAGUUUGUGAUUAGGUUUAAUUUGAAAGUAGGUGGAUGUAUGGAUUUUGGAAAUACUUUUUAACGAUUUGAUUAGUUAUAUGAUUUGCACUAACCGAUUUGUAUUGGACAAAUUUUAAUUCGUGAGGCGUUGAUCCUUGCAAAGGGUGCAAGGACGAUUGACAAGAAAGUUGUAAAAAUCAAAGAGUUAACACCAGCAAAUAGGGAUAGCAACGACACGGGUGCCAGCCUCGCGGAGGAGUAAUGGGUAGGGACGGAGCAUGGGCAAGGGAGAUUUUUCUCCACCCCACCCCAGCCCAUACUCCAUCCCUCACUUAAAUUUAUUAAUAUAAAUAAAUAUAAUAUAAUGCGUAAUCUAACAAUAAUACUUAGGAUAUUGAUUAUCUCUAUUAUUUUAUUUUAUUUUGUUCUAUGUUAUUUUGGAAAGAAGGUUUAACAUUUUUUUUGGAUGUUUAUUGAUUUUUUUUAAUAACCAUUGCUGGAAAGAAUCAAAUUGAAACGAAGAUGUUUGGAAAUUAUUUUGAAAAUACCAGAAUCGUAGUUGGUAUUUGGCACAAGCAUAUUUUGGGCUGCAUGAGCAUUCCCAAGGGUUAUUUGUACAAUUUGAUUAAGGUUUCUAUUUUUUUUUUUUUUUUGUGCUUUCUUGAUUCUUUUUUUGUUCAGUUUUUCCCUUUUCACUUUUUCAGUUCUCUUUUUUAUUUUGUUCAUUAAAUUUAGUCUUGAUCUAUUGGAGAUGGAUUUGAGAGUUGGGUUAAGUUUCACCCUAUCAAGAUGGAAUAAGUUUAAGACAAUUAGAAAAAUAAAAUUGUCACCCUCAAGUGCCCACAUAGGGUGCGAGGUGGGAAGGGAAAGGGGGAUUUGACGGAACAGGGAUGGGGGAUGGGGUGGGGACCACAGGAAUUUUUUGGCAAUGGAGAGGACUCAAGAGCAGAUCCCUCCGUCACUCUAAACCGACAAUGUUGUUAGAGGCGGACCAGAUCAGUUGGUCUGACCAGUCUGACCACGAACCAGCCUUCUUCCUGAAUUGAUGAGUAGCACAAAAUUGCUCUAGUUAAAAACCGGCCAAACCAAUGACCUGAUUUGACUACUUAAUCCGAUUCUCAAUUUUUUUUAAUUUUUCUAAACAUAAUUUGAAUUACCUAAAUUAUAAAACUUUCAUUUAUUAAUAGGAAUAAAAAAAAAACACCACCACUUAGUAUAAAUACCAAAAUCACUCUCACCCUUAAACGAUUUCUAAACCAAAAAGUUUUCAUUCCUAUCACCUUAUCAAUUUAUCAUUAGCGAUUCCAACUUGUAUCGAAAAAUCAUAAAGAUUUCGAAUUGGGUAUAAUUUGUUUUAGUUUAGUUUUUCGAGGAGUUUUGGAGAAUGGACAUAUUUUAAACAUGAAUUCAUAUUUUUAUAUAUAAUUUUUAGGUGUAUAUUUGAUUGCAAGUCUAAUAUUUUUAAAACAUUUUAUAUAGAUGGUCAAAAUAUAACCACGAACUUAAUUUUAAUAUUUCUAAAACUCAAAAAAAUAUAUAAAAUAAUUAUGACAUCAUACUAAUGUUAGCAAAUUUUUUUAGAAAUUAACCUCUAACCUAAUAGUUUCGCCGAGUCGAUAUCCCAUCCAAAUUUAAGAACAUUGCAUUGCGAUCCCUGCUCGCUAAGAUGCUUCACUAGAACGUUGGAAUACCAGGUUUGCACUUCACUUGCAGUUGACUUAAACUAAGAAAUAGUCAUAUGGUUUCACAGGAUCAGCUCAAGUUCUCAUUGACGUGCCCUUUUCUCUGUGGUGGAGAUGUCACCAUAUGGUGUAAAGCUGCUCCAUUUAGGCAGAAAGACCCACAAGUCCAUUGCUCAAUUUGAUCUUGUUUGCUAGCCCAACCGUGGGGAAUAAUUCAAGUUGAUGUUGUUUGCUAGCCUAGCCGUGGGGAAUAAUUCAAUUUGAUGUUUGUCGCUAGCCGUGGGGAAUAAUUUGAGGCAGUCUGGCACGUCCACUAACGACAUUAGUCAAUUUUAGAACUUUUAAAACUUCUGUAGGUUUUAGCUAAAAUUUAUCAACCAUACCUCCAACGCACUUAUCUUAAGUGAUUAAUUGGGUUCCUUUUAAUUUUUUUUAAAGUUAUUUUGUGUAAAAAAAAAAAAUUCCUUUCAAAGUUUCCUGCAAGAAAUCAACUGCUAGGCAACUUUUCUUUCACAAAUUUUUUGAAACAAACUUUACAAAAUAAUAAAAUUAUACAAAACGAAACAAAUGUUAAACUAAAGGAAAUUUAAUUUCUAUUAGGAUUUUUCAUAAAGUUGAUCGAAUCCAAUUAACAAGUCAAAGGAAAUUUGCUUUCUAUUAGAAUUUAUAUAAAAUAGAUAUUUGCAUUAGGAUUUAUUUAUAGGCUAUUCACUCCAAUUAACACACUAAUAAUCAAGACUUUAAUUGACAAACAUAGUAUUAUUUCCUCCAAAGUUCAUUAUUGUGAUUCUAAUGAUCUAAUUCCCCAGAUUUCAUCAUUAUCUUUUGAAGGAUGAGUGUUCCUUCAAACUCCAUUGUUAAGAGGCGAUGCUUUUUUCUUCCUUUUUUUUUGGCUUUAAAAUGUCUUCUAUUAUAUUUUUAUGUAUGUAUGAUUAGUCUAUUUGAAGAUACUAUCGUAAUGAUUAUUUAUUAAUUUUUUAUUUAGUUUUGGUUCUUAAUUGCAGUCCGUGUUUAAUUUAAAGAUAGAAUUCAUUAUUUUUAUAUCAUAGACAGCAGUAGGAACUAAAAAGUGAAACCUUUCCAUGUUGUACUUAAAAUUAUUUUAACAAUCCAAUUCAAUUUUUUAUACCUUUAUUAUGAUUACUUAUUCUUAACCAUCUAUUAUUCGUAUUCAAGAAAUUACUAUUGAUUCAAUUCAUAGAUGCCUCUGAUCAAAUGAAGGAGUGACAAGCAUAAUUUAGUAUGCUUUAAAUUGAUAGGAGAUAAAAUGUUAGAUAAACUAAUCACUUUAUUUUGUUUUGAAUUUUUUAUCGUUUUUGUUAUCAUAAAAGUAACCUUAUACAUGUAUGUAUAUGCACAUGAAAAUAUGUUAAAAUGAAUGAAAAUGUGGUUAGAUACAAAUGUAAAUAUAUGCUUAUGACCACAAUCCACAACUAUGAUGUAUAAUUCAUGAGUAGGCCUAUAUUGAUCUAAAAUAAUUAGAAUUUACGAUGAAUGGAAAAUUUGCAACAUUAAUUAAUCUAAAAAAAGAUAGAAGUUAUAAGAUUUAUGAAUACGCAUUAAUAAAUAAGUAGGCAUGCAUAGUAAUUAAAUGAGUAUAAAGGAAGAAUGUAGUAGAAUACAAAUAAAUUAAAAGUUAAAUGCAUUAUUAGUCUCUAAGGCAAUAUUUUGAGAUUUAAGUGUAUAUAUCAUUGUCCGGUAAGCUCAAAGGUAAUGUGAUGUGAUAUAUAGAGUUGGAUGAUAUGAGUAUGUUAGGUGCACAAUCGAUAUCUAGUGAGUAGAUAGUAGCAUAUGUCGAUAACACUAUAAAAUGUGGUCUUUGAAAAUAAAAUUAGGGAGAGUUCUGCAGAUUAACAACAUGAAUGAUCACAAAGGUUAAGUGAAUUAGAAUAGUUCAGAUGAUAGUGCAGGUAAACAUGUUGAAGUUUCAAAUGUUGAAAUCAACCAAUAAGAGGUCUUAUUAUAACGGAAAACAUAAUUUAUUUUUCAAAUUGGGCGGAUAUGAAAUGUGAAUAUGAUGUAAAUCAUUCAUAUAAUAAAGGUAGUGAUUAUUUCUCAAAUUUUAGAUUACCACCCUUGAAAUAAAGAUCAUUUUUUUGUGUCAAAAAAAAAAAGUUCGAAUGGAUUCGCUUUCGAUAAUUACCGCGGAUCAUGGCAACUAAAAGAAAAUUUAAUUAGUGAAAUUAUCUAGUAAACAAACUAAUUAUCGAUUAGGAUGAAAAACCUUUUAAUAUUGGAGAAUAGGAAUUGGACUAUCGGUUGUGUGUUUAUUUUAUCAAUCCCGCUAACAAAAUGUGUCCAUAACUUGUGUUCGUAAAUGCAUUCCAAUCCACGAACGAAGCAUGUGCGUGAUUUUUGUUGGGCAGGGAAACAAGGGAAUGUAAAAGGAAGGCGGGAACAAUAGCCACCAUCAAUUUCAGCGUUGUACUCACUUUUUUUUUUUUUUUUUUUCUGAAACGAUAGGAAUAUAUUGAUCAAAACAUAACUAUACACUUGUAGAGCAACGGCUCUAAGAUACUUUACAAAGGUGUUAGACACCUUGAGGAUUGUUCCAUUCCUCAUCAAUACAAAUGCCUACAGCAUAAGUACUCACAGAUUUACUUAUAUUGUCAUUUGCUAUAUCUAAAUAAAAUGAGCAUUUUUUAAACAAAAAGCCUAAGUUGGCGAUGUCAUCAAUCAUAGUUGCCAGUCUAAUGUCUUUAGUUUUCCGUGACAUCAACGAUGACAGAAGCUACUUGUGGGGGAUAUGAACCUUGAGUUCUGACCAAUUCUUUCCUCUAGCCUUAAUUAAAGCUAACCUUACUGUCUCAGCUAAAUCCAAUAUUGAAAUGUUUGUACCUUUGUCCCUCAUGGCCCAUGCUGUCUUCACUUGUCCCCUGUGAUUCUUUGCCACCACUCCCCUUCCCAGCCAUCUGGUGUCGAUAUCCUCAUAGACAGCUAUCUGCAGAUUGACUUCAUUUGCUUCAUCUCGUGUUUGAACAUCUUGCAUAGGUCCUCUGGAUGUUUCAAAAUUGCUCAUUGGUUCUUAUUUUUCCUUUGCUAACACCUGCUCCUGCCAAUCUUUUUGAGCUUUGUGAGCAAUCUUCAAAAGAUGUUUCUGUUUUGAGUUGUAUUGCCAUUCAUUCCUUGCCUUCCAAAUUUGCCAAAGUAUGUUGGUUGUUAGCUUAAUGUAGCUCUAACCUUGUUUCCUUCUUGCUGCUUCCAUUACUGCAUUCCACCAAUAGGAAAAGUUACCCGACUGUGCCAAUAUCCCAUCCCACUGAAUUGGUGCCAUCUUCCACACCUCUCUAGCUCUCCUGCAGCUAUGUCAAUUUUUGAGUAAAUUGGCUGAAUGCCUUUUACUUGAUGAUCAUUUCCCUUAAAUAAGAAUUUCUGUGCAAUCUAUUUUAGGUAGUCAUCUAUGUAUAGCUAAUUACAGCUAAUGUCCUAAUUACUGAUAUUCUAUUCUAGGUAACUAUAUAUAGACAAUUAAUGAACAAAUCGUUGGCAUGAUUUAUGCCAUAAUCUUUGCCACAAUUUCUGCCAUCAUCUUAUGCCAUAAUCUCUACCAUUGAUAUCCCCCCUCAAAUUGAUGUUGGGUGAUCAACUAGCAUCAAUUUGUCAACAAGAAAGUGAUGUCUAGGUUUGGAAAGAGCCUUAGUAAACACAUCAACAGUUUGGAGAGCAGUGGUGAUAUGCGGAAGAGAGAUGACAUGAGCAUCAUAUGCUUCACGAAUAGAGUGACAAUCUACUUCAAUGUGCUUGGUACGCUCAUGAAAUACUGGGUUAGCGGCAAUUUGAAUAGCACUAGUGUUAUCUGCAUGGAGCGGAGUAGGCUCGAUUUGAGGAAACCCAAGUUCACCCAACAAUCCACGAAGCCAAACAACACGCAGAGGACAUGGCCCGAUACUCAGACUCAGUAGAAGACUUAGACACCCGAUCUUGCUUCUUGCUUUUCCAAGAAACGAGAGAGUUACCAAUAAACAUGCACCAACCAGUAAUGGAACGUCUAGUAUCAGAGCAACCAGCCCAAUCAGCAUCACUGUAUGCAACCAGAUGAAUAGGAGAGUCGACUUGAAAGAAAAGACCUCGAGCAGAAGUGCCUUUCAAAUAGCGAACAAUGCAAUGAACAGCGGCGAGAUGAAGGUGCCUAGGGGCUUGCAUAAAUUGACUGACUUGUUGAACAGCAAAAGAAAUAUUAGGCCGAGUAAUAGUCAGAUAAUUGAAGUUGCCUACCAGCUGUCUAUAUAAAGAAGGAUCAGAUAGAAAAUCACCCUCAUCAUGACGAUAUUUAACAUUCACCUCCAAGGGAGUAUCAACUGAACGACCAUCUUGAAGGCCAGCCAAAGCAAUUAACUCUUGAAUGUAUUUAUGCUGGUGUAAGAAGAUACCAGCUGAGGUGGAACGCAUCUCAAGACCUAAAAAAAUACUGUAAAGGACCCAAGUCCUUCAUAUGAAAAGAAGUCUGAAGAUGGUCUUGAAGCUUAGAAAUCAAGUUAGUAGCAGUCCCUAUAAUAACAAUAUCAUCAACAUAUACCAGAAGCAGGACAAUUCCUUUAAGUGUUUUGCAAAGAAACAAAGAGGAGUCAUACUAACUUUGGACAAAUGAGAAAUUAAUAAGCGUAGAACGAAACUUAUCAAACCAAGCACGUGGAGCCUGUUUCAAACCAUAGAGUGAUCGUUUCAAUUUACAAACAUCAAAUGAAGGUGUAGAAAAUAAUCCUGAUGGUGGCGGCAUAUAAAUUUCUUCUUUAAGAUCCCCAUGCAAAAAGGCAUUCUUAACAUCCAUUUGUUGCAAUAACCAGCCCUUAGAAGCAGCAAUAGCUCGAACAAGGCGCACUGUUGUCAUCUUUCCGACGGGUGCAAAUGUCUCCUCAUAAUUUAUUCCAUAUUCUUAUUUAUUACCAAGUGCCACCAACCUCGCUUUAUAUCGAUCAAGUGAGCCAUCAGACCGGCGCUUAAUGGAGUAGAUCCACUUACAACCAAUGGGCUUAACACCACUGACAGGUCGUCAGCCUGUGCAAUAAUAAUAAUAAAUAUAGAAUCUAGAUACCACUAAAAGCAGUCAAUAAUCAAUCCUAGGUACUGGAGCAGGGACUCUAGGUGUGCAAUGGGUUACUUGAUUCACCCUAUUCCCGAAGAGUUUGCUUAACCCGAUAUACCAGAAUUAAUUAAUUGACAAAAAUUACUAAAUAGUAGACAGUGGCAAGUAAGGUCGUCUCCUCAGGGACUGGGGAUAUCUGUCUCUUUUUAAAGUCCAAUUGAUAAGGGGGGAUUUCACCGGAAUGAAACUAAAAAUAAUUAAACAAUUUAAUUAAAAAUAAAUAAAUCACUAGCACAAGUAAAACAGGAAUUAAAUCAAGAAUAAAUAAAUUCUAGCCAAGGAUACAACUACUCAGGCACAGUCCAAUCAUCCGAUCAUUGAUGCAAGAGAGGUUCACUUAAUGUAUUAAUAGGCUAGUUAUAGUCUGACGACCAAUUUUUCCUUAAAUUAUAGAUGACCAAGGUACGACCAUUAAUCACCUCUAACCAGAAAAGUACUCCUAGGUACGACCGUAGGAAUUAAUUUUUCAAUUGCAUUAAUAACUAGAAAAACCUAGCCCUAACCAAUAACACGCUACGAGGGUUAUUUAAAUUAGAUUGCACGUUCCCCUAAUGUGUAAACACACCAGCUGCCACUAACAUUAAUCAAUCAAACAAUUACGGAUUUAAUUGACUAAAUUGGCACGAGAUUAAUAAAUCACAUUGAACAUCGGGCCCUUGACAUCCAAUUAAUAAAAUAAUCCCAUGAAAAUUCAAGCAGAUAACGUGCAAAUAUUAAUAAAUAAAGGAACACGUGAAAACUAAUUAGAUCUCACAGAUUUUCGGGACUGCGCCGUCGAGUUGACCCUUGACUAGAUGGAAGAUUUAGCCACGCCGCAUAAUUAAAUCACCACACGAAUUAAUGGAUUGCAAAGGCAUAGCGUUUUCUACUAAGAAGCAAGGAAUAAAAGGUGUUUUUCCCGUUGGGAAAUUUUGUCGAACACCUGGCGUGUGUCAGAGGCCAGUCAAAAGAAGGAAAAACUAAACUAAAGACUAGGCUAAGAAGCUAAACUAAAAGCUGGCCGUCCGUCUUCUGUACGUUAGCUCCCUAUUUAAGGCCAAAGGAAAGAUAUCCAGUGGUCCCCACCAAUUGGCCACAAGCUGCCCCAUUUCUUCUUAGUUUCCUUAGACUUUGUACGUUGCUUUUUCUUUAAGAACCAAAGGACCAAAGCCCUUUUCCUUUCCUCCGUGGUCCCCACCGAAGUCAAAGGCCCAAGCCUUCAAGUUCUCUAAGUCUCCGGUUGUAAUCCUCUUGGUCAACAAGAAUAAAGGGAUGGGAGUCCAGUUCUUUUCAGCACUGUGGCCCUGGCCUGUGACUCGCUUGAAGACUCAAUUUUCUCCAGAAAAUCCCUCAUGUUUGGUAGUUUUCUGUUCUAUCCCUGAAAUAAAGGCCACAAACCAAAUAGAAGUAGAUAUGUGCAAUUAACACAAUAUUUAUCAGGGAUGAAAGGGGAAAUUAAUAAUAAAAUUACUAACAAAUUAUACCCUAUCAAUUCCCCCCACACCUAAACCAUGCUUGCCCUCAAGCAUAAGAAGAGUAGGCAGACCCCAAAAAGUUGAUAGUGGUCAUCACUCUAAUCUACCACAUUGCCGAGAGAUUCAAGAGAAAAUCAUAUAUCGGGCACUAGUAGUUAAAAUCCGAGAAACAUCCCCCCAGUUAGCCUCUACCGCAAACUCCUUCAAUUUCCAAAUUAACUAGUCUAAGGAAAAGGAAUGACACACAGCAUUUAUCAGCUAAUGGUCCAAAUAUUCACACAAGUCCCCAUAUUGAGUCCACAAACCAGCAAGCUUCCCUAUUACGUAUUCUCUCUUUUUUCCUUUCUUUUUUCCUUCUUUUUUUUUUCUUCUUCUCUUUUUUUUUUUUAAGCACAUAAUAAUAUUCGACCCAAGGGAACUUAGUCUCUAGCCGCCGGAGCCUUUUGACGCGAACUCCAACAUUUUUAGAUGAAGAAGCCCGGUUACUCAGCUCCUACCGCUAUACAACCACGUACUCAUAUAAAGUACCACCUUUUGACGCGAGAAUCGACACUUUUAGGUGCAGAUUCCCGGUUACUCGGUAGUAGCCAAUAGAGGAGUACAGUCAAGCUUAUUCACAGCUAAACAAAGCAGAAACGCAAAAUAACAGCACUAACAACUAAACAUAGGGGCAGCUCGCCUCAUUAUUGCCAAACAUAGAGAACUGGAGUCAAUAUUGGACCAGUUCACAUUAAAAUGCCAACAGUCAUUCCCUAUGCCUAGAAAAAUUAACAAAGAAAUCACAAGAAUCAAGCAGUCCGAUAUUCACCAAUGAGACAUCUCGAAUCCAACCACACUAACCCGAUACAUUAUAUUUAAAAAGAACUUGGCAAAAGUAGAACUAAAGUCAACAAACCAAAAUUUUUCUCUCUCUCAUUUUUUUCUUUUUUUUUUUUAAUAGCCACAUGGGAUUAAAACUAAGAAUUAAAACUAGAAUUACUAGUCACAAAGAAAGAUAAUAAGCAACUAGAAUUAAAACUAAAAACUAAUAAAACUAGAAACUAUUAAAAACUAAAAACUACUAAAAACUAAGAACUAAAACUAAAAACUAAAAAUUACUAAGAACUAAAAACUACUAAAAACGGAAAACACUAGCACCCCCUCCACACCUAUAGGACACAUUGUCCUCAAUGUGACAAAUGUAAAACAGAAGUGAGAGGGAAAAGGACCAAACUUCCCUGAAACCGGGUCAAUGCGGAGGGCGAGGUGGAAACGGAGGUGCAAAGCCUAUAUGCAUCAGAAACUGCGUCAAAUUCUGUGCUAUGCCUGCGACAUUGGCGUCGACGUUGGUCAUUCGGGCCUGCAAAUCCUGAACUUGCUCCCGGAGUUGCUGCCAUUCAGAAGUCCCACGGCGUGGAGGUGGUGCAGAAGAUGACGGCCCAGCAGUGUCCUCGGCCGACUCAUGAAAGGAAGAGGGUCCUGGUCGGGGCGUAGGGCGUGCACCCGGAGCUCGAGGUGGUCCCGGAGGGGUAAACUGGUAGGAACCAUCGGGCAAGCGCUCGACGACUCCCAUCCUCUCUAAGCAAUCCACAUCCAAGAGCUCCAUCUCGAAUGCCAAAUGUAGGUCAUGGUCCUCCAAGUCAAAAACCCCUAGCUCAGUCGCCAAGUGAGUGAUAAAGGACCAAAGGAUCAGAGGCUUGUUCUUCUUGGUCAAAACCGUUUUGAACUGCGCCGCCAACCAACACCCCAAGUUGACCUUGAUGUUGUUUUUCAUACUCCAGAGGAAGAAAAACUCGGGGCGAGAGAGUAUACCGGAGCUGUCCUUGCGCCCCGAGUAGCUGUAGGCUAAGAAACGCUGAACAUAGCGGGCACUAGGGUCCUUAAGAAAGGAACUCCUAGACCGGGAAGGAUCGUAGCGCUCCCUAUCGACGGACAUGUCCUCCCAUAUAUCAUGGUAGCGGGAGAGGAAUGGCUCUACGUAGUCACAGGCACUCUCAUUAUACUCUCUCGUCUCAGCAUACUCUCGAGUAAUGAAUCCAAAUGCCAAAUUAAAUUCGGUAAUCGAAAAAUUAAAUUCCCGACCCAUCAGACGGAAGCGAAUGAUAUUAGGAGUCGCGGCGGUGAACCUCGAGGGCAACUCAAACUCAAAGGUAGCAUAAAACUCCCGAGUCAGCUCGACAAAUGCGGGGCAGAAGAUAUAGAGAUAUGGGCGCCACCCGAUGGCUGUAAACAUCUGCUCGACCUCCUCUCGUAUGCCUAGGCCCAUCAUGCUUAAUUUUUCACUAGUCUUACAAAGUAUGAUACGCCGCUCACAGACUUUGGCAUACCUCUGCUGAUCCGCAGGUCUAGUGAAGGUCAAGUGCCCUCCAAAGUGAGCUGGGGUAUCUACCUGAGCACCCCUACCCCUACCCAAACGGGUUCGGACAUUAGAGGAGUACGGUAGGUUGGUAGGUGUAUUCACAGGAAUAGAUGCCUGUGGAGGAGGCUGAGAACGAGGGGUCCUAGACCUAGAGGAUGAUUUUGGUCUCACCAUGUCCCCCAACAGUAAGUUCAAGGCAACCGAAAAUCUAACAGGUAUAGAAACCAGCAAUAACAAAGCGAAAACCUCCCAGUAGUAACCCAGCCAAUAGCAAACAAAAGGGUCCCAGCAAGUACUCAACAAGCAAUUCAGUAAUAACUCAACUAAAACCACAAGAGAAACCCCAGCGAGUUAUCCAGCAAUUCAAGCAAUAUCCCCAAGCAACGUGAUGUUCACAAAGUCAUCUCCAAAUCGAACAAAUAAUUAGAGCAUUGCAACACAUUUAAAAUCUCAAUAAACGGCUCCAGUUAGCCAAGAAAAGUGCUAACUCAUAUUCAACAAUAGUAGUGCAGCAAGGGGACAGUAAUCAACGCAAUAAACACAGCUACUCGGACAGUCAAACCAAUGCAGUGUUGUAGCUCACCCAGAUUCCCAACAGGUGGCUCCAGAUGGCCAAUUAAAUGCACAAUUUCACCAAACCCACAAGAAUUAGCAAUUCCAAGCAAGAAUAGUCCAACCAGUACCACUGGUGAAAAAUCACACAACUGAAGAAAUAGCCCCCAAUAGGCAAUGACACCACUAUUAGGCAACUCUAACAACACCAAGCAAUAUGAAGAGUUUGAGGGUCAGCUUCCAAAUACCUUCACCGUAGAGGGUAGCCAAACGAAAUGGGAUAGUAGCGGGGCAGGGCCUAGGGAGGCGCGCGGCGUGGGAAGUUUCGGCGGUGGCCGUGAGUGAGCAACGGCUGCUCGUUGGUGGCGGGUGACGUGGUUGAAGCGGAUGUGAGGCAGAGGUAGAUCAGCAGCGGCGAGGGAAGACAGAGGCGCUGCUGGCGGCGCGAGGCAGGACGCCGACGGUGCGCGCGACAGUGGGGGCUUCAGCAGCUGCUGCGGCGCGCAAGAUGGCGGUGGAGCGCGCAAGGUGGGCUGCGGCUAGCGACGAUGGCGGCGCUUUGGUGGAGCACUGGGGCGCGAGCGGCGGCUGGUUGCUGAGCACGUGGGCGGCGUGCGCGGAGGUGGCGCGCGAAGGAGAGCCGUGCUCUGGCGUGCGGCGAUAGGGUCGCGCGCGGCUGAGCAGAUCUGGUGGAGCGUGCGGCGGGCGGCGGGUGAAGUGAUUCGGACGACAGAGAGGGAGCAGGGAAGAAGGAAGAAAGAAAAGAGAAAGAAGAAAGAAAGAAGAAGAAAGAAAGAAAAAGAAAGGAAAGAAAGAAAAAAAAGAAGGAAAAGAAAAAAAAAGAAAUUUGUUUUUUUUUUUUUGGGCUACGGUUUAGAGGAAAAAUUUUCCUUCUUCUUGUUUUUUUUUAUUUUUUUUAUUUUUUUGUUAUUAUUUGAAUAACUGAAAUAAUAAUAAUAGUUUUUCUAUAUUUUUCUCAUUUUUUUUUCAUUUUUUUUUAUUUAUUUGAAUCCUUACCUUUCCCGCGAACGUGACGCGGGCACGUCAUGAGGCCAAGAGAGCUCCCAGAAGUUUCAGAAUUUCCUGAUCGUGCGCGUCCUGCACAUCACUACGCGGGCACGUCAUGAGGGCAGGAGAGCUCCCAGAAGUUUCAGAAUUUCUGAUCGUGAGCAUCCUGCACAUCACCACGCGGGCACGUCAUGACUGAAGGGCACCUAUAAAUCAGCAAAACGAAAACUAACACCCAAAAUCAUUCAAGUUCAAGGAAAACAGAUUUAAAUGGUGACACGAAAUCAACAAACAAUUAAAGGAAACAAUUGGGUUGCCUCCCAAUGAGCGCCUUUCUUUAAUGUCUUUGACUAGACAUUGUCCAAAAAUUUGCUUAAACUAAGCAAGUCGGAUCCUCCAAGUGCAUCACCUCCACCCGUUCAGUUGGAACCCCUUCAUAAUACGGCUUGAGACGAUGACCAUUCACUACAAAUUUCUUCUCAGCUUUCAAACUUUGGAUCUCGACUGCACCAUAAUGGAAGACAUUAGUCACAACAAAAGAGCCAAUCCAACGAGAACGUAAUUUACUUGGGAAUAACUGCAAUUUGGAGUGGUACAGCAGAACUUUUUGCCCACACUCGAAUGUCUUCCUUGAGAUCUGUUGGUCAUGAAAAAUUUUAUUUUUCUCCUUAUAAAUUACCGCAUUCUCAUAAGCUUCAUUGCGAAUCUCCUCCAACUCCUCUAAUUGUAACUUCCUUUAGAUUCCGCCCUCCUCAAUAUCCAUAUUGCAUUGCUUAACCGCCCAAAAUGCUUUAUGCUCGAACUUUACUGGAAGAUGACACGACUUACCAAAUACCAGCCUAUAGGGAGACAUCCCUAUAGGUGUCUUGUAUGCCGUCCGGUAGGCCCAGAGUGCAUCUUCCAACCGUUGACUCCAAUCUUUUCUAUCGGGGCGCACCAUUUUCUCCAAGAUGGACUUUAUCUCCCGAUUCGACACCUCCGCUUGACCAUUGGUCUGGGGGUGAUACGACGUUGAGACUUUGUGGAGUACACCAUACUUGCGAAAUAACGCAGCUACGGUUUUGUUGCAGAAGUGCGUUCCCCUAUCACUGACAAUAGCUCUUGGCAUUCCAAAUCGCACAAAAAUAUUAGAUCUGACAAAAUCUGCAACCACUUUCGAGUCAUUAGUUCGAGUGGCCUUAGCCUCCACCCAUUUAGACACAUAAUCAACUGCCAGCAAAAUAUACAGAAAAUCAAAUGAAGUAGGAAAAGGCCCCAUGAAAUCUAUACCCCAGACAUCAAAAAUUUCUACAAAAAUCAUCGGGACUUGGGGCAUAUGAUCUUUACGGGCUAUAUUACCUACCCUUUGACAGCGAUCACAUGACUUACAAAACACAUAGGCAUCCUUAAACAAUGAAGGCCAAUAAAAUCCACUUUCUAAAACCUUAUGAGCAGUUCUCUUGGGUUCAAAAUGACCUCCACAGGCAAAAGUAUGACAAAAAGCUAAAAUCGAUUGAAAUUCCAUUUCACUUACACAUCUCCUCAUCACCUGAUCUGCACAUCUCUUCCAUAAGUACGGGUCAUCCCAGAUAAAAUACUUGGCGUCGCUCUUCAAUUUAUCCCUCUUCGAUUUUUGCCAACCUGUAAGAAAAUUACCAGUUACCAAAUAAUUGACUAAAUCAGCAUACCAAGGCAACUGAGAAUUUAAAGAAAAUAAGUGUUCUUCAGGGAAUGCAUCCCUCAAUGGUUCAUUAUCCUCUCCAACGGGUAUACGACUCAGAUGGUCAGCUACUAAAUUCUCCGAGCCUCUUUUAUCCCUUAUUUCCAAGUCAAAUUCCUGUAGUAGCAAUAUCCACCUGAUGAGCCUCGGCUUUGCAUCUUUCUUGGUCAUCAGGUACCUUAGUGCUGCAUGAUUAGAAAAUACAAUCACUUUAGCACCUAACAGAUAUGACCUGAACUUUUCUAGAGCAAAAAUUACUGCAAGAAGCUCCUUCUCAGUGGUGGAGUAAUUCAACUGGGCUCCAUUCAAGGCCCGGGAUGCGUAAUAGAUGACAUGAGCCGCCUUUCCUACUCUUUGCCCCAGUACAACCCUAACAGCAUGAUCACUGGCAUCGCACAUGAUCUCAAAUGGCAAAUUCCAAUCAGGGGGUUGGAUGAUUGGGGGUGAAGUCAACAAUUCCUUCAGCUUGUUAAAGGCUCUCUCACACUUAUCAUCAAACUCGAAUGCUACAUCUUUUUGUAGGAGUUGGAACAACGGGGCUCCAAUUUUUGAAAAAUCCUUGAUGAACCUUCAAUAAAAACCUGCAUGUCCAAGAAAAGAGCGCACCUCCCGCACACUCGCGGGGUAAGGUAAUGCAGAAAUAAUGUCUAUUUUAGCCUUGUCAACUUCUAUGCCCUUCGACGAUAUAAUAUGACCCAGGACUAUCCCGUGCUCAACUAUAAAAUGACAUUUUUCCCAAUUAAGCACAAGAUUAGUCUCUAUACACCUUAUCAGGAUUAAUUUCAGGUUAUCUAGACACGUAUCAAAACUAUCACCAUACACACUGAAAUCAUCCAUGAAAACUUCUAUUAUUUUCUCAACAUACUCAGAAAAGAUGCUUACCAUACAUCUUUGGAAAGUCGCGGGUGCGUUGCACAAUCCAAAUGGCAUUCGUCUAUAAGCAAAGGUCCCGAAGGGGCACGUGAAAGUUGUCUUCUCUUGAUCCUCUGGGGCAAUUGCUAUCUGAAAGUAUGCUGAAAAUCCAUCCAAAAAGCAAUAAUAAGCUCUACCAGCUAAACGUUCAACCAUCUGAUCAAUGAAAGGGAGAGGGAAAUGGUCCUUUUUGGUGACGGCGUUUAGCCUACGGUAGUCUAUACAUUGCCUCCAUCUAGUGGGCUUACGCACUGGAACAAGCUCACCCGUUUCGUUGGCCUCCACCGUCACUCCUGCCUUCUUUGGGACUACCUAGACCGGGUUCACCCAAGGGCUAUCAGAGAUUGCAAAAAUAAUCCUCACAUCCAACAAUUUUAAAAUUUCUUUCUUUUCAACUUCCAUCAUGAGGGGAUUGAGCCUUCUUUGAGCCUGCCUAACAGGUUUGGCAUCGUCUUCUAGCCUAAUCCGGUGCAUACAGAUGGCCGGGCUGAUCCCCUUAAUGUCUGCGAUUGUCCAGCCUAUCGCCUCUUUAUGCUCCCGAAGGACCCGGAUCAAUUUCUCUUCCUGAAUUUUUGACAGUGCCGAUGAGAUAAUCACCGGGAGUGUCUCAUUAUCACCCAGAUAUGCAUAUUUCAGGUGCUCUGGUAGAGGUUUCAACUCCAGUACAGGUGCCUGCACCACAGAUGGCAAUACCCUCUGGUGAGGCUCGGGAGUAAAAAUAGGUAAGACUUCAUACCUUUUCGUGGUGGUCUGCAAUGAGUGUAAUGUACCGAUUGUGCAUUUUAAAUCCUCACUCCACUCCACCUGAGGAGUUGUCUCCAACUCGAGGUGCUUGGUUAAAGCCACCUCCAGCUCAUCCCUGCCAUCAGUUUCAAACACUUCCUGCACCACAGGAUCAAUAGCACUCACAGAGAAAAUUGAGCUAAAGUUGGAGUUUGAGGGAUAUUUCAUAGUAUCAAAGAUAUUGAAAUGCACAAUUUCCCCAUUAAACUCCAUGGACAGAAUACCCUUACUAACAUCAAUUUUCGUCUGUGCUGUGCUCAUAAAAGGUCGACCCAAUAACAGAGGUGAGGGAUCAGGGGAGUGAUCAUCAUCCAUAUCAAAUACAUAAAAAUCAGUUGAAAACACCAAAUCAUUAACUUUUACCAACACAUCUUCAACCAAGCCAUCAGGAUAUGCAUUAGUUCGAUCAGCUAAUUGAAUGAUUAUUUCAGUUUCUUUUAAUGGACUUAAUUUUAGAUAAGCAUAGAUAGACUUAGGCAUGACAUUUAUUGAUGCUCCCAGAUCCAACAUGGCCCUUCUGAUUACAGUAUUACCUAUCUUACAGGGAAUAGUAAACAUACCUGGGUCCCCGCACUUUGGUGGGAGCUUCCUCUGCAGGACCGCAGACACAUUUUCCCCAACUAUGACCCGUUCAUCUCCCCUCAAUCGCCUUUGGUUGACACACAAGUCCCUUAGGAACUUGGCAUAUUUUGGUACUUGUUUGAUGGCGUCUAAAAGGGGGAUAUUUAUCUCAACCUUGCGAAAAACCUCCAAAAUCUCCUUCUCCUGUUUCUUUGAUUUUUCCAACCUGCUAGGAAAAGGAGGUGGGUUAAUUUUAACUGUAAUUAUUGGGUCAGGAAGUACCUUUGGAUCUGCACCAUUGCUGUCCUCCCUUUCAAGCUCAUUUUCGAUCUUCUCUUCAUCCUUGUCCUUGGGGAUCACAGGCUCAGGCUCUUGAAUUUCUUUCCCACUCCUUAGGGUCAUUGAGCUCACGUUCUUCGGAUUCAACUCCGGUUGAGAUGGCAGCUUCCCUUGGUUCUGGGACUCCAAACGGUUAAUUUUGGUGGCCAUUUGAUUCAUCUGAUUCCUUAUGUCCUGCAUUUCGGAGUCCGUCCUUUGCUGAUUUUGCAUAAUAGCUGCCUCCGUCCUUUGCUGAUUUUGCGCUAUGGUUGUCAUCAUUUGUUUCAGCAUCUCCUCCGUAGAUGAACCAGAUUGAGGGGGCGGAGGUGGUCGGGAUUGGUAUUGCUGUUGGUACCCUGGUGGCUUAUUCGGCACAAAGUUAGACUGCCUGUUCGGCGUGAAGUUGGAUUGCCUAUUCCCUCCAUAACUGAGAUUGGGAUGAUCUCUCCACCCGGGGUUGUAGGUGCUUGAGUAAGGGUCGUACUGCUUCCUUGGCGCGGGCGCGUGAUCAGCCAUGUUCACCUGUUCUUCAGUUUCUUCCUGAAUCAUUGGGCACAUGUCUGCAGAGUGACCUAUACCAGUGCAAAUCCCGCAUACCCUGGCUUGUGAUGCAUUUCUCACGGCCUGUUGCCUAACAAACGCAGUCAACUCAUUUAGCUGCUGCUGCAUAGAGGAUGUUUCUACCUCAUUCACCCUACGUAUUGGAACAUCCUCCCUUGUACUGAAUUGCUGUGAAUUCUGUGCCAUCCCCUCUAUUAACUCCCGUGCUUCCUGAGGGGUUUUGUUCACCAGUGCCCCUCCACUUGCAGCGUCAAUGAUGCUCCUGUCUUUAAAAAUGAGCUCCUCAUAAAAAUAUUGUAUGAUCAACUGCUCACUUAUUUGGUGUUGGGGGCACUUGCCAACAAGUUCUUAUACCGUUCCCAAUACUCGUAAAGUGACUCCCCUGGAUGCUGCUUGAUCCCACAAAUUUCUUUCCUUAGACUUGCAGCCCUGGACGCAGGAAAAUAUUUAUCCAAAAAUUUUUUCUUCAAUUGGUCCCACGUGGUGAUGCUACCUGGUGACAGGUAGUACAGCCAAUCUUUCGCAGAAUCUUUCAAGGAGAAGGGGAAUGCCUUCAUUUUUAUCUGCUCUUCUGUGAUUCCCGGGGGUUUCAUACUAUUGCAUACCACAUCAAACUCCUGUAGAUGCUUAUACGGCUCCUCACCUGGUAAGCCGUGAAAAGAAGGUAAAAGAUGAAUUAGACCUGAUUUCAAUUCAAAUGAAGUAUUUUCACUCAAACUCGGGAAAGUAAUGCAUAAAGGCUGCUGAUUUAAAUCAGGAGCAGCCAACUCCCUUAAUGUUCGUGCAUUAGCCAUGGGAAUUUCUUCUUGCUCUGAGUCACUCGAAGUGUCACCAAAUGAAUCUGUUGGUUCAACUUCUGGCCCAGGUCUCUGAGAUGUAGCACCGGAGUGCUCCUCUCGGAGCUGUCUGGUCUCUUUUCUUGUCCUACGCGCAGUCUUCUCUACCUCAGGGUCAAAAACCAGAAAAUUAGAGCAAAAAUGAACUUAAUAAAGAAACAAAUAAUAACGCCAGUCCCCGGCAGCGGCGCCAAAAAUUGACAGGUGGUCAGCCUGUGCAAUAAUAAUAAUAAAUAUAGAACCUAGAUACCACUAAAAGCAAUCAAUAAUCAAUCCUAGGUACUGGAGCAGGGACUCUAGGUGUGCAAUGGGUUACUUGAUUCACCCUGUUCCCGAAGAGUUUGCUUAACCCGAUAUACCAGAAUUAAUUAAUUGACAAAAAUUACUAAAUAGUAGACAGUGGCAAGUAGGGUCGUCUCCUCAGGGACUGGGGAUAUCUGUCUCUUUUUAAAGUUCAAUUGAUAAGGGGGGAUUUCACCGGAAUGAAACUAAAAAUAAUUAAACAAUUUAAUUAAAAAUAAAUAAAUCACUAGCACAAGUAAAACAGGAAUUAAAUCAAGAAUAAAUAAAUUCUAGCCAAGGAUACAAUUACUCAGGCACAGUCCAAUCAUCCGAUCAUUGAUGCAAGAGAGGUUCACUUAAUGUAUUAAUAUGCUAGUUAUAGUCUGACGACCAAUUUUUCCUUAAAUUAUAGAUGACCAAGGUACGACCAUUAAUCACCUCUAACCAGAAAAGUACUCCUAAGUACGACCGUAGGAAUUAAUUUUCCAAUUGCAUUAAUAACUAGAAAAACCUAGCUCUAACCAAUAACACGCUACGAGGGUUAUUUCAAUUAGAUUGCACGUUCCCCUAAUGUGUAAACACACCAGCUGCCACUAACAUUAAUCAAUCAAACAAUUACGGAUUUAAUUGACUAAAUUGGCACGAGAUUAAUAAAUCACAUUGAACAUCGGGCCCUUGACAUCCAAUUAAUAAAAUAAUCCCAUGAAAAUUCAAGCAGAUAACGUGCAAAUAUUAAUAAAUAAAGGAACACGUGAAAACUAAUUAGAUCUCACAGAUUUUCGGGACUGCGCCGUCGAGUUGACCCUUGACUAGAUGGAAGAUUUAGCCACACCGCAUAAUUAAAUCACCACACGAAUUAAUGGAUUGCAAAGGCAUAGCGUUUUCUACUAAGAAGCAAGGAAUAAAAGGUGUUUUUCCCGUUGGAAAAUUUUGUCGAACACCUGGCGUGUGUCAGAGGCCAGUCAAAAGAAGGAAAAACUAAACUAAAGACUAGGCUAAGAAGCUAAACUAAAAGCUGGCCGUCCGUCUUCUGUACGUUAGCUCCCUAUUUAAGGCCAAAGGAAAGAUAUCCAGUGGUCCCCACCAAUUGGCCACAAGCUGCCCUAUUUCUUCUUAGUUUCCUUAGGCUUUGUACGUUGCUUUUUCUUUAAGAACCAAAGGACCAAAGCCCUUUUCCUUUCCUCCGUGGUCCCCACCGAAGUCAAAGGCCCAAGCCUUCAAGUUCUCUAAGUCUCCGGUUGUAAUCCUCUUGGUCAACAAGAAUAAAGGGAUGGGAGUCCAGUUCUUUUCAGCACUGUGGCCCUGGCCUGUGACUCGCUUGAAGACUCAAUUUUCUCCAGAAAAUCCCUCAUGUUUGGUAGUUUUCUGUUCUAUCCCUGAAAUAAAGGCCACAAACCAAAUAGAAGUAGAUAUGUGCAAUUAACACAAUAUUUAUCAGGGAUGAAAGGGGAAAUUAAUAAUAAAAUUACUAACAAAUUAUACCCUAUCAACCACUAGGACAUGGCCUUCCAUUACAUUUUGGCCCCAGUAGACCACAAUGACUCCACAUUCUGAAGUCAAGACGAGGGAAAAGAUUGUAGAGACUAUUAUUAAAGCAAUUGAAUGAACUUUGAGAUUCAUCAUUUGGUGGAAUAUGGUUUGUGAAGACUGCGAUGAACCAAGGGACUCAGGACUGCGCUUCUUAUAGGAAGGGAUUUGAAGUACUCUUGAAGUGGUUUGACGAAUUUGGAUCCUCCGUCAAAUUUUUAACGUCACACUCCAUAUUACACCAUGUAUAGAAGGUUUGUGAAAUAUUUAAAGCAGGUUCACCUUGAUACAUGGUGUAAUUGGGGGUAUAAUACUAGAGAAGACGGUAUUUUGACAGUUUUUCAAUUGACAAUUCUUGUUCAAAGUUUGUGAUUAGGUUUAAUUUGAAAGUAGGUGGAUGUAUGGAUUUUGGAAAUACUUUUUAACGAUUUGAUUAGUUAUAUGAUUUGCACUAACCGAUUUGUAUUGGACAAAUUUUAAUUCGUGAGGCGUUGAUCCUUGCAAAGGGUGCAAGGACGAUUGACAAGAAAGUUGUAAAAAUCAAAGAGUUAACACCAGCAAAUAGGGAUAGCAACGACACGGGUGCCAGCCUCGCGGAGGAGUAAUGGGUAGGGACGGAGCAUGGGCAAGGGAGAUUUUUCUCCACCCCACCCCAGCCCAUACUCCAUCCCUCACUUAAAUUUAUUAAUAUAAAUAAAUAUAAUAUAAUGCGUAAUCUAACAAUAAUACUUAGGAUAUUGAUUAUCUCUAUUAUUUUAUUUUAUUUUGUUCUAUGUUAUUUUGGAAAGAAGGUUUAACAUUUUUUUUGGAUGUUUAUUGAUUUUUUUUAAUAACCAUUGCUGGAAAGAAUCAAAUUGAAACGAAGAUGUUUGGAAAUUAUUUUGAAAAUACCAGAAUCGUAGUUGGUAUUUGGCACAAGCAUAUUUUGGGCUGCAUGAGCAUUCCCAAGGGUUAUUUGUACAAUUUGAUUAAGGUUUCUAUUUUUUUUUUUUUUUUGUGCUUUCUUGAUUCUUUUUUUGUUCAGUUUUUCCCUUUUCACUUUUUCAGUUCUCUUUUUUAUUUUGUUCAUUAAAUUUAGUCUUGAUCUAUUGGAGAUGGAUUUGAGAGUUGGGUUAAGUUUCACCCUAUCAAGAUGGAAUAAGUUUAAGACAAUUAGAAAAAUAAAAUUGUCACCCUCAAGUGCCCACAUAGGGUGCGAGGUGGGAAGGGAAAGGGGGAUUUGACGGAACAGGGAUGGGGGAUGGGGUGGGGACCACAGGAAUUUUUUGGCAAUGGAGAGGACUCAAGAGCAGAUCCCUCCGUCACUCUAAACCGACAAUGUUGUUAGAGGCGGACCAGAUCAGUUGGUCUGACCAGUCUGACCACGAACCAGCCUUCUUCCUGAAUUGAUGAGUAGCACAAAAUUGCUCUAGUUAAAAACCGGCCAAACCAAUGACCUGAUUUGACUACUUAAUCCGAUUCUCAAUUUUUUUUAAUUUUUCUAAACAUAAUUUGAAUUACCUAAAUUAUAAAACUUUCAUUUAUUAAUAGGAAUAAAAAAAAAACACCACCACUUAGUAUAAAUACCAAAAUCACUCUCACCCUUAAACGAUUUCUAAACCAAAAAGUUUUCAUUCCUAUCACCUUAUCAAUUUAUCAUUAGCGAUUCCAACUUGUAUCGAAAAAUCAUAAAGAUUUCGAAUUGGGUAUAAUUUGUUUUAGUUUAGUUUUUCGAGGAGUUUUGGAGAAUGGACAUAUUUUAAACAUGAAUUCAUAUUUUUAUAUAUAAUUUUUAGGUGUAUAUUUGAUUGCAAGUCUAAUAUUUUUAAAACAUUUUAUAUAGAUGGUCAAAAUAUAACCACGAACUUAAUUUUAAUAUUUCUAAAACUCAAAAAAAUAUAUAAAAUAAUUAUGACAUCAUACUAAUGUUAGCAAAUUUUUUUAGAAAUUAACCUCUAACCUAAUAGUUUCGCCGAGUCGAUAUCCCAUCCAAAUUUAAGAACAUUGCAUUGCGAUCCCUGCUCGCUAAGAUGCUUCACUAGAACGUUGGAAUACCAGGUUUGCACUUCACUUGCAGUUGACUUAAACUAAGAAAUAGUCAUAUGGUUUCACAGGAUCAGCUCAAGUUCUCAUUGACGUGCCCUUUUCUCUGUGGUGGAGAUGUCACCAUAUGGUGUAAAGCUGCUCCAUUUAGGCAGAAAGACCCACAAGUCCAUUGCUCAAUUUGAUCUUGUUUGCUAGCCCAACCGUGGGGAAUAAUUCAAGUUGAUGUUGUUUGCUAGCCUAGCCGUGGGGAAUAAUUCAAUUUGAUGUUUGUCGCUAGCCGUGGGGAAUAAUUUGAGGCAGUCUGGCACGUCCACUAACGACAUUAGUCAAUUUUAGAACUUUUAAAACUUCUGUAGGUUUUAGCUAAAAUUUAUCAACCAUACCUCCAACGCACUUAUCUUAAGUGAUUAAUUGGGUUCCUUUUAAUUUUUUUUAAAGUUAUUUUGUGUAAAAAAAAAAAAUUCCUUUCAAAGUUUCCUGCAAGAAAUCAACUGCUAGGCAACUUUUCUUUCACAAAUUUUUUGAAACAAACUUUACAAAAUAAUAAAAUUAUACAAAACGAAACAAAUGUUAAACUAAAGGAAAUUUAAUUUCUAUUAGGAUUUUUCAUAAAGUUGAUCGAAUCCAAUUAACAAGUCAAAGGAAAUUUGCUUUCUAUUAGAAUUUAUAUAAAAUAGAUAUUUGCAUUAGGAUUUAUUUAUAGGCUAUUCACUCCAAUUAACACACUAAUAAUCAAGACUUUAAUUGACAAACAUAGUAUUAUUUCCUCCAAAGUUCAUUAUUGUGAUUCUAAUGAUCUAAUUCCCCAGAUUUCAUCAUUAUCUUUUGAAGGAUGAGUGUUCCUUCAAACUCCAUUGUUAAGAGGCGAUGCUUUUUUCUUCCUUUUUUUUUGGCUUUAAAAUGUCUUCUAUUAUAUUUUUAUGUAUGUAUGAUUAGUCUAUUUGAAGAUACUAUCGUAAUGAUUAUUUAUUAAUUUUUUAUUUAGUUUUGGUUCUUAAUUGCAGUCCGUGUUUAAUUUAAAGAUAGAAUUCAUUAUUUUUAUAUCAUAGACAGCAGUAGGAACUAAAAAGUGAAACCUUUCCAUGUUGUACUUAAAAUUAUUUUAACAAUCCAAUUCAAUUUUUUAUACCUUUAUUAUGAUUACUUAUUCUUAACCAUCUAUUAUUCGUAUUCAAGAAAUUACUAUUGAUUCAAUUCAUAGAUGCCUCUGAUCAAAUGAAGGAGUGACAAGCAUAAUUUAGUAUGCUUUAAAUUGAUAGGAGAUAAAAUGUUAGAUAAACUAAUCACUUUAUUUUGUUUUGAAUUUUUUAUCGUUUUUGUUAUCAUAAAAGUAACCUUAUACAUGUAUGUAUAUGCACAUGAAAAUAUGUUAAAAUGAAUGAAAAUGUGGUUAGAUACAAAUGUAAAUAUAUGCUUAUGACCACAAUCCACAACUAUGAUGUAUAAUUCAUGAGUAGGCCUAUAUUGAUCUAAAAUAAUUAGAAUUUACGAUGAAUGGAAAAUUUGCAACAUUAAUUAAUCUAAAAAAAGAUAGAAGUUAUAAGAUUUAUGAAUACGCAUUAAUAAAUAAGUAGGCAUGCAUAGUAAUUAAAUGAGUAUAAAGGAAGAAUGUAGUAGAAUACAAAUAAAUUAAAAGUUAAAUGCAUUAUUAGUCUCUAAGGCAAUAUUUUGAGAUUUAAGUGUAUAUAUCAUUGUCCGGUAAGCUCAAAGGUAAUGUGAUGUGAUAUAUAGAGUUGGAUGAUAUGAGUAUGUUAGGUGCACAAUCGAUAUCUAGUGAGUAGAUAGUAGCAUAUGUCGAUAACACUAUAAAAUGUGGUCUUUGAAAAUAAAAUUAGGGAGAGUUCUGCAGAUUAACAACAUGAAUGAUCACAAAGGUUAAGUGAAUUAGAAUAGUUCAGAUGAUAGUGCAGGUAAACAUGUUGAAGUUUCAAAUGUUGAAAUCAACCAAUAAGAGGUCUUAUUAUAACGGAAAACAUAAUUUAUUUUUCAAAUUGGGCGGAUAUGAAAUGUGAAUAUGAUGUAAAUCAUUCAUAUAAUAAAGGUAGUGAUUAUUUCUCAAAUUUUAGAUUACCACCCUUGAAAUAAAGAUCAUUUUUUUGUGUCAAAAAAAAAAAGUUCGAAUGGAUUCGCUUUCGAUAAUUACCGCGGAUCAUGGCAACUAAAAGAAAAUUUAAUUAGUGAAAUUAUCUAGUAAACAAACUAAUUAUCGAUUAGGAUGAAAAACCUUUUAAUAUUGGAGAAUAGGAAUUGGACUAUCGGUUGUGUGUUUAUUUUAUCAAUCCCGCUAACAAAAUGUGUCCAUAACUUGUGUUCGUAAAUGCAUUCCAAUCCACGAACGAAGCAUGUGCGUGAUUUUUGUUGGGCAGGGAAACAAGGGAAUGUAAAAGGAAGGCGGGAACAAUAGCCACCAUCAAUUUCAGCGUUGUACUCACUUUUUUUUUUUUUUUUUUUCUGAAACGAUAGGAAUAUAUUGAUCAAAACAUAACUAUACACUUGUAGAGCAACGGCUCUAAGAUACUUUACAAAGGUGUUAGACACCUUGAGGAUUGUUCCAUUCCUCAUCAAUACAAAUGCCUACAGCAUAAGUACUCACAGAUUUACUUAUAUUGUCAUUUGCUAUAUCUAAAUAAAAUGAGCAUUUUUUAAACAAAAAGCCUAAGUUGGCGAUGUCAUCAAUCAUAGUUGCCAGUCUAAUGUCUUUAGUUUUCCGUGACAUCAACGAUGACAGAAGCUACUUGUGGGGGAUAUGAACCUUGAGUUCUGACCAAUUCUUUCCUCUAGCCUUAAUUAAAGCUAACCUUACUGUCUCAGCUAAAUCCAAUAUUGAAAUGUUUGUACCUUUGUCCCUCAUGGCCCAUGCUGUCUUCACUUGUCCCCUGUGAUUCUUUGCCACCACUCCCCUUCCCAGCCAUCUGGUGUCGAUAUCCUCAUAGACAGCUAUCUGCAGAUUGACUUCAUUUGCUUCAUCUCGUGUUUGAACAUCUUGCAUAGGUCCUCUGGAUGUUUCAAAAUUGCUCAUUGGUUCUUAUUUUUCCUUUGCUAACACCUGCUCCUGCCAAUCUUUUUGAGCUUUGUGAGCAAUCUUCAAAAGAUGUUUCUGUUUUGAGUUGUAUUGCCAUUCAUUCCUUGCCUUCCAAAUUUGCCAAAGUAUGUUGGUUGUUAGCUUAAUGUAGCUCUAACCUUGUUUCCUUCUUGCUGCUUCCAUUACUGCAUUCCACCAAUAGGAAAAGUUACCCGACUGUGCCAAUAUCCCAUCCCACUGAAUUGGUGCCAUCUUCCACACCUCUCUAGCUCUCCUGCAGCUAUGUCAAUUUUUGAGUAAAUUGGCUGAAUGCCUUUUACUUGAUGAUCAUUUCCCUUAAAUAAGAAUUUCUGUGCAAUCUAUUUUAGGUAGUCAUCUAUGUAUAGCUAAUUACAGCUAAUGUCCUAAUUACUGAUAUUCUAUUCUAGGUAACUAUAUAUAGACAAUUAAUGAACAAAUCGUUGGCAUGAUUUAUGCCAUAAUCUUUGCCACAAUUUCUGCCAUCAUCUUAUGCCAUAAUCUCUACCAUUGAUAUCCCCCCUCAAAUUGAUGUUGGGUGAUCAACUAGCAUCAAUUUGUCAACAAGAAAGUGAUGUCUAGGUUUGGAAAGAGCCUUAGUAAACACAUCAACAGUUUGGAGAGCAGUGGUGAUAUGCGGAAGAGAGAUGACAUGAGCAUCAUAUGCUUCACGAAUAGAGUGACAAUCUACUUCAAUGUGCUUGGUACGCUCAUGAAAUACUGGGUUAGCGGCAAUUUGAAUAGCACUAGUGUUAUCUGCAUGGAGCGGAGUAGGCUCGAUUUGAGGAAACCCAAGUUCACCCAACAAUCCACGAAGCCAAACAACACGCAGAGGACAUGGCCCGAUACUCAGACUCAGUAGAAGACUUAGACACCCGAUCUUGCUUCUUGCUUUUCCAAGAAACGAGAGAGUUACCAAUAAACAUGCACCAACCAGUAAUGGAACGUCUAGUAUCAGAGCAACCAGCCCAAUCAGCAUCACUGUAUGCAACCAGAUGAAUAGGAGAGUCGACUUGAAAGAAAAGACCUCGAGCAGAAGUGCCUUUCAAAUAGCGAACAAUGCAAUGAACAGCGGCGAGAUGAAGGUGCCUAGGGGCUUGCAUAAAUUGACUGACUUGUUGAACAGCAAAAGAAAUAUUAGGCCGAGUAAUAGUCAGAUAAUUGAAGUUGCCUACCAGCUGUCUAUAUAAAGAAGGAUCAGAUAGAAAAUCACCCUCAUCAUGACGAUAUUUAACAUUCACCUCCAAGGGAGUAUCAACUGAACGACCAUCUUGAAGGCCAGCCAAAGCAAUUAACUCUUGAAUGUAUUUAUGCUGGUGUAAGAAGAUACCAGCUGAGGUGGAACGCAUCUCAAGACCUAAAAAAAUACUGUAAAGGACCCAAGUCCUUCAUAUGAAAAGAAGUCUGAAGAUGGUCUUGAAGCUUAGAAAUCAAGUUAGUAGCAGUCCCUAUAAUAACAAUAUCAUCAACAUAUACCAGAAGCAGGACAAUUCCUUUAAGUGUUUUGCAAAGAAACAAAGAGGAGUCAUACUAACUUUGGACAAAUGAGAAAUUAAUAAGCGUAGAACGAAACUUAUCAAACCAAGCACGUGGAGCCUGUUUCAAACCAUAGAGUGAUCGUUUCAAUUUACAAACAUCAAAUGAAGGUGUAGAAAAUAAUCCUGAUGGUGGCGGCAUAUAAAUUUCUUCUUUAAGAUCCCCAUGCAAAAAGGCAUUCUUAACAUCCAUUUGUUGCAAUAACCAGCCCUUAGAAGCAGCAAUAGCUCGAACAAGGCGCACUGUUGUCAUCUUUCCGACGGGUGCAAAUGUCUCCUCAUAAUUUAUUCCAUAUUCUUAUUUAUUACCAAGUGCCACCAACCUCGCUUUAUAUCGAUCAAGUGAGCCAUCAGACCGGCGCUUAAUGGAGUAGAUCCACUUACAACCAAUGGGCUUAACACCACUGACAGGUCGUCAGCCUGUGCAAUAAUAAUAAUAAAUAUAGAAUCUAGAUACCACUAAAAGCAGUCAAUAAUCAAUCCUAGGUACUGGAGCAGGGACUCUAGGUGUGCAAUGGGUUACUUGAUUCACCCUAUUCCCGAAGAGUUUGCUUAACCCGAUAUACCAGAAUUAAUUAAUUGACAAAAAUUACUAAAUAGUAGACAGUGGCAAGUAAGGUCGUCUCCUCAGGGACUGGGGAUAUCUGUCUCUUUUUAAAGUCCAAUUGAUAAGGGGGGAUUUCACCGGAAUGAAACUAAAAAUAAUUAAACAAUUUAAUUAAAAAUAAAUAAAUCACUAGCACAAGUAAAACAGGAAUUAAAUCAAGAAUAAAUAAAUUCUAGCCAAGGAUACAACUACUCAGGCACAGUCCAAUCAUCCGAUCAUUGAUGCAAGAGAGGUUCACUUAAUGUAUUAAUAGGCUAGUUAUAGUCUGACGACCAAUUUUUCCUUAAAUUAUAGAUGACCAAGGUACGACCAUUAAUCACCUCUAACCAGAAAAGUACUCCUAGGUACGACCGUAGGAAUUAAUUUUUCAAUUGCAUUAAUAACUAGAAAAACCUAGCCCUAACCAAUAACACGCUACGAGGGUUAUUUAAAUUAGAUUGCACGUUCCCCUAAUGUGUAAACACACCAGCUGCCACUAACAUUAAUCAAUCAAACAAUUACGGAUUUAAUUGACUAAAUUGGCACGAGAUUAAUAAAUCACAUUGAACAUCGGGCCCUUGACAUCCAAUUAAUAAAAUAAUCCCAUGAAAAUUCAAGCAGAUAACGUGCAAAUAUUAAUAAAUAAAGGAACACGUGAAAACUAAUUAGAUCUCACAGAUUUUCGGGACUGCGCCGUCGAGUUGACCCUUGACUAGAUGGAAGAUUUAGCCACGCCGCAUAAUUAAAUCACCACACGAAUUAAUGGAUUGCAAAGGCAUAGCGUUUUCUACUAAGAAGCAAGGAAUAAAAGGUGUUUUUCCCGUUGGGAAAUUUUGUCGAACACCUGGCGUGUGUCAGAGGCCAGUCAAAAGAAGGAAAAACUAAACUAAAGACUAGGCUAAGAAGCUAAACUAAAAGCUGGCCGUCCGUCUUCUGUACGUUAGCUCCCUAUUUAAGGCCAAAGGAAAGAUAUCCAGUGGUCCCCACCAAUUGGCCACAAGCUGCCCCAUUUCUUCUUAGUUUCCUUAGACUUUGUACGUUGCUUUUUCUUUAAGAACCAAAGGACCAAAGCCCUUUUCCUUUCCUCCGUGGUCCCCACCGAAGUCAAAGGCCCAAGCCUUCAAGUUCUCUAAGUCUCCGGUUGUAAUCCUCUUGGUCAACAAGAAUAAAGGGAUGGGAGUCCAGUUCUUUUCAGCACUGUGGCCCUGGCCUGUGACUCGCUUGAAGACUCAAUUUUCUCCAGAAAAUCCCUCAUGUUUGGUAGUUUUCUGUUCUAUCCCUGAAAUAAAGGCCACAAACCAAAUAGAAGUAGAUAUGUGCAAUUAACACAAUAUUUAUCAGGGAUGAAAGGGGAAAUUAAUAAUAAAAUUACUAACAAAUUAUACCCUAUCAACCACUAGGACAUGGAACAAUAUCCCAAGUAUGAUUCUCCUGGAGAGCAUGAAGUUCUUCUUGCAUAGCUUUUACCCAACAUGCAUGCUUAGUUGCUUGAGAAUAAGAGGUAGGAACUGCAGUAUUAGCUAAAGUGGCAGAGAAGCCAUACCUAGCAGGAGGUUGACGGAUACGAGAUGAUCUUCGAAGAACCACUGGAGCAGGCAUUGGUUCAGGGUUGGGAAGGAUUUGUGAUGAUGGGGCCCUGCGUCGUUGAUAGACAAUACCGGGUUUAAAACACUCAAUUGGUGGCGAGAUAUCAUCAAAGUUAGGAAGAAGGACACGCUGGGAAGGCAAAACAUGCUGCUAAAAAUAGUACUCAUGCUCAAAGAAAAUUACAUUUCUAGAAACGCAGAAACGAUUAGCAACAGCAUCAUAGCAUAAAAAUCCUUUCUGAGUGGUGCUAUAACCCAUAAAAGCACACCGAGCUGAUUGGGCUGUAAGCUUGUGACCCUCAUGAGGUGGCAAGUGAACAAAACAAACAUAGCCAAAUGGGUGUAACAUGUGAUAAUCAGGAUGGACACCAAAAAGGUGAUAAUAAGGAGAGUCAAAACCCAAUUGUUGAGAAGGCAGACGAUUAAUCAAAUACACUGCAGUUGUCAAAGCUUCAACCCAAAAUUUAAACGGCACUAAAGACUGUAAGAGUAAUGAUCGAACAAUAUCCAACAAGUGACGAUUUUUACGCUCAGCCACCCCAUUCUGUUGGGGCGUAUAAGGACAUGAUCACUGAGAGAGAAUGCCUUUAUGUUGCAAGAAGGCUUGAAAGUUAUGUGACACAUAUUCGCCACCAUUAUCAGAUCGAAAAAUCUUAAUAGUUGUGAAAAAUUGUGUCUCAAUAUAAGCCACAAAAGUUUGAAAAACAGUAAAUACCUCAGCUUUGGUGUGCAAAAAAUAUAUCCAUGUGAAUCGACUAUAGUCAUCAAUGAACGUCACUAAAUAUCUAUAAUGCGCAUGUGAAAUGACAGGAGUAAUGCCCCAAACAUCACUGUGUAUUAUCUCAAAACAUGCAUUAGCACGACUACCAUAAGUAGGAAAAGGUAAAGUUUUGCUCUUUCCUAACGUACAAGUAGAACAAUCAAGAGACAAUGCAUGAGUAGAACACUGAUCUUGUUUUUCAAGAAGACCACGCUUCAUCAAAUUAGAUAAUAUCACAUUAUUUGGAUGACCUAAUCGCCUAUGUCAAACGUCAGCCUUAUUUUCAACAAUCACAGAGGCUAAAGAUAAAGGUUUAGGAAUAGCAAAUUGCAACGGAAAUAAUCUUCCCACUUUAGGCCCCCUUGCGAUCACCUUCCCCGACAUCUAAUCCUACACAUGAUAACCAUCACGAGAGAAGUUGACAAUACAGUUAUCAUCCACCAACUGACCAACAGAAAUUAAACUAGUAGACAACUUAGGAGCGACAAAAAGAUGACGAAAAGAAUGUCCAAGAUCACCAAUGGCUGUAAUUGAAAGAUUACUACCAUUAGCAAUUUGUAUAUUUUGUCUACCAGUAUACUGCUGCAAAUUCUGUAACGAAUCAGUAGAGCCGGUCAUAUGAUUGGAUACUCCAGAAUCAACAAACCAAGUAGAAGAGAUUGUCUUACCUUGGCCCUGAAGCCCAAGGGCAGAAAAUGUUGUGAGAAUCAUUUGUUGGACCAUUUCUGGAGUAAUAACAGCCUGAUUGGUGCUUGUGGUUGUAAGUGUAGGACCAAUAACGGUAGGAUUUGGAACUGCAACGUGAAAAGCUUGAGCUCGCCUGUUUUCUGGUCGUGUAGGACAGUCCUUGAUAAUAUGUCCAUUCUGUUUAUAGCAAUUGCAAAAUUUCAUACCACAAUUGCGAGCAAUAUGUCCAAGCUCCUUGCAGCUGUAGCACUGCAUUGAUCCCUUUCCUCUAUGCCUCCCUUGUGCAGCAUAAGCAACAUUGACAACUUCUGAUGUCUCUCCAGAUGCACUUAGAAUAGAUUGUGUAGUCAAUCGCUGUUCUUCCCGUAAUAAUUCACCAAGACAAACAUCCAAAGAAGGAACCGGAUUUCUAUUCAGCAAUCCACCCCGAGUAACCUCAAAUUCUGAUCUCAGUUUCAUCAAAAAUUGAUCACGCAUACUAACUUCAUGAACCUGUUGAAGGCUGCCUAAGGCCUCCUUAGGUACCUUAGAGUAGAUAAGACCAGAAUAUUCGCUCCAUAAAUUAAUAAAUCCAGAAUAAUAUUGCUCAAUAGAGAGAUUACCUUGAUUGAAGGUACUAAUCUCGUGUUCAAGUUGAAAUCGUCUUACAGUAUUAUUUUGAUGAUAUAUGCACUGCAGAUAACCCCACAUCUCCCUAGCUGUACCAAAUGAAUGCAAAUUGUUCACCAUAUGGGCUUCAAUGGAAGCUAAAAUCCAAGAAAUAAUUCUAGCAUCCUUUGCCUCUCAUUGACCAAGUUCUUUCUCAUUUUCGGGAGCAGGAGAAGUCCCAUCAAUGUGACCCCAAAGUUCCUUCCCUUUCAGAAACAUUCUGAAUUGAAAUUCCCAGGCCGCAUAAUUCUUUCCUGUAAAUUUGAUAGCUGAAGUCUCUAUAGGCAAGCUUCCAAAAUAAUUCUCAAUAGACAUUCUUAAAAAAUAAAAAAGAAAAAAAAUCUCAAAGCCAAAAUGUUGAUUAGAAAUUAAUCAACCCAGAAAACUAACCAAAUGAUGCAAAUAUUCAGCUAUGGAUUCAAGAGACUAGCUCUGAUACCAUGUCAAUUUUUGAGUAAAUUGGCUGAAUGCCUUUUACUUGAUGAUCAUUUCCCUUAAAUAAGAAUUUCUGUACAAUCUAUUUUAGGUAGUCAUCUAUACAUAGCUAAUUACAGCUAAUGUCCUAAUUACUGAUAUUCUAUUCUAGGUAACUAUAUAUACACAAUUAAUGAACAAAUCGUGGGCAUGAUUUAUGCCAUAAUCUUUACCACAACUUCUGCCAUCAUCUUAUGCCAUAAUCUCUACCAUUGAUAAGCUAAACAGCAUAUGCUCUAUGGUUUCCACUUGUUCGCCACAUUCUUUGCAGAUUGGAUCACCCUUCCCUGUCCUUUUGUAGACCGGGUUGUUCACUGGUAGAAUUCCUUUAAUGCACUUCCACAAAAAUUGUUUCAAUUUUCCUUUUACGUUUAGCUUCCAUAACUUCUUCCAUAUGUUGUUGAAAUUGCUUGCCGCACUUGUUUCCCCCAGAGCUUCUCCUUUGUUUUUCCUUUGUUCCCUCCAGUUAUACAAAAGUUUAUAACCGGACUUCACAGUGUAUUGACUAGUUUCACUGUGUAUCCAAUAGUUGCUAUCCUCUCUCCCUGACAAACUAACAGGUAUUUGCAGGAUCUUUUCAGCAUCUUUUUUGUUGAAAGUUGAAAAGAUUACAUGCCUGUUCCAUCGGAAGCCCCUAAUCAAAUCUUCAACCUUAGACACAUCACAGUUGGGAGGUUUGUCUGUUUGCACUCUAUCAUCCUUAUUUCCUGGUAUCCACCCAUCGUUCCAGAUGUUUAUACUUCUGCCAUUUCCCACCUUUCUUCUUGUUCCCUCCUGCACUAGGUCUCUUGAAUCCAUUAGACUUUGCCACAUCCAAGAGGACUGUUUUGGUACUUUGCACUUGAAAAUGGAUUCAUGUUGAAAUAUUUCGCCUUCAACACUUUGCUCACGAAUAAGUUGGGGUUGGUCAGGAUUCUCCAUACUUGUUUCCCCAGAAGAGCUUUAUUAAAGCUCUGUAUUUCUUUAAAGUCUAGCCCUCCCCACUUUUUACCUUGAGUCAUCUUCUCCCAAGAACACCAGUGAAUCUUGUUCCUUUCCUCAGAAUCUCCCCACCAGAAUUUUGCCAUUAUAGAGCUUAUCUCUCUGCACAGUUUGUUAAAGAGUUUGAAGCAUGACAUUGUGUAGACUGGCAUGGCCAUGGAUAUAGCUUUAAUCAUGACUUCCUUCCCUGCUUGACUGAGCAUCUUACUUUUCCAGUUGCUUGCUUUAUUUCUGAUGUUGUCCUUGAUAAAACCAAAAACCUGUUCUUUUGAUCUAGUGAUCACCAUUGGAAGUCCCAGAUACUUUCCUUGUGAAGCUGUCUGAAUGCUUCCCAGUUGUUGAGUCACCACUGCCUUCUCGUCGGAGUUCAUAUUUUUGCUAAAAAAGACUGAGGACUUUUCCAGAUUUAUGCUCUGGCCUGAUCCCUUCUCAUAUUGCUUUAAUAUGGUCAUCAGUUCCCUUGCUUGUCCACUGUUAGCUUUACAAAAAAUCAGUGAGUCAUCAGCAAAAAAUAGAUGAGUAAGACAUGGUCCACCUCUACUUAUUUUCAUGCCAAAAAGCUUUCUCCUCUCAACAGCCUGUCUUAGCAGAUUUGAAAAACCUUCAGAGCACAAAAGAAAUAAGUAUGGUGAAGUGGAUCCCCCUGCCUAAUGCCCCUCAUAGGAGUUAUGUAUUCCUUAGGUUGUCCAUUGAUAUUGAAGGAGAAAGUUAUAGUAUUCAAGCAGUUCAUGAUCCAUGUUCUCUACAUACCACAAAAGCCCAUUUUACCCAUCUUAGCAUCCAAAAAGUUCCAUUCCACUCUAUCAUAGGCUUUAGACAUGUCUAGUUUGACUACCAUAUACCUAUCUUUCCCUUGUCUUUUAUUUUUCAUGAAAUGCAAAAGUUCAUGGGAAAGAAUGACAUUAUCUAGAAUUUGUCUUCCAGGUAUAAAAGCAGCCUAAUUUUUACUAAUACAAAAAUUCAGCACAAUUUUAAGCCUAUUGGCCAGGAUUUUGGAUAUAAUUUUAUACACUACAUUACAUAGACUAAUAGGCCUAUAGUGCUUCAUAUCAGUGGGGUUCAAAACUUUAGGAAUAAGGGAAAUCAGUGUAUGAUUCAUGGAUUUAAGCAUGUGACCAGAAUGAAAGAAGAGUCUAUGGCUUUAACCAGAUCAAUCUUUACUAUUUUCCAAAAUUUCUGGAAGAAAAGAGGAGUCAUCCCAUUUGGACCUGGAGAUUUAUUAGGAUUCAUAGCAAACAAAGCAGAUUUAAUCUCCUCUUCAUUAACUGAUCUAGUCAAGUUUUCAUUCAUGCUAGGAGUUAUUGAGUGUGGCAUUCCUUCUAGUAUGCUCUCUAUCUCUUCACCCCCUGAGCUUGAAAAAAGAUUCCUAUAGUAUCCAGCCACUGUUUUUCCCAAAUCUUCUUCAUUCUCAGUCCAUGUCCCAUCACUGUUUUCAACGUUGUACUCACGCUAUGCAUCCAUUUUGCACUGCAAUGUUUUAAAAGGCGAGAGCGCUACGCAGGGCAUUUUAUGUCCGUCCAAAUAGGGUGAAAAUCUCAAGGGCGUAAGUCUCACAAAUUUUAAUUUUUUAAAUAUAUAUAAAAAAUAAAUGUAAAAUAAUACUACAAAAUUAUAAUAUUCAUACAUAUGUGUGUGUAUAUGUUACUAAUAAAUAUAAAAAUGGAUAAAAUUAUAAAAAUAUUAUUGUUGUCUAACAAGUAAAAUCACAACAUAACCCUAACUCAUACAGUAGCCAUAUAGAAUCAUAUUAAUAAAAAAUAGUUAUAAUUUGGGAUCAAAGAAAAGAAAAAAAAGGAAACAAAGUCAUAGUUGCUUUUAUUUUGUAUUUCUCCCAAACUAUUUCCAAAAAGAAAAUAAAUAGAAUCAUUCUUUAAAAUUAUUAAACAAUAAUAAGGGCAAGAAACAAAAAUACGGACGAUAAAAUCGUAAAAUCAAAGUUCAAAAUUAAGGAACAAAAAAAAAAUACAAAAACACCCGAAACGCCCCCAGCGUUUGCUAUGUGCAGUGAAUACCAAAAUAAAUCAUCCUUCAGAAGAAUAACAACUAGUCACAACAGAUUAACAUAGUUUACAUGAAUUUUAAUUGGCUAGUGUCCUAAUUAAAGGAAAUACUUUUGAGGCCUAAGAGUAUUAUUCUUGUUAGAAUUGUUACUAUUAUCGUGAGAAAGAACUACUAGUUGUCAUCGAUAAUAUAGUGAAAUUUUAAGUUUUGUGUGGUAUUUAUUGUGGAUUCAAAGUACGAUUUAGCAAAAUCAUUUGUACUAUCCCCCCCUUUUUCCUUUUCUUGCCUCGUAUACCAUUCUGAUGGCACUCAUAAAAUUUCCCUCAAGUCUUUUGCAAAGAGAGCGUGCAUAUAUGGGGUCACGGGGUGGUGCUGUUAUGCCAUCGAAACAUGCAUUUGACGGUCCAAAACAGGCUAAGUUGAGUUCGAUUGAUCUAAGCCGUCAACUCUUCAGUGACAGUCCUACAAGUUUGACAAGAUUUUCGAUGCACAAAUAAUUGCCUAUAACCACAAGGCAUUAAUUUUACGACACCUAUCCUAGCUUCCUCUGUAGGCUGUAUUACCUGACUAAGAAAUUGGGCAUCAAUAUUACAGGCACAGGCAGAGCCAGAAUUUGGUCCUUGGACAGCGGGGCAAAAGUGAUAUGUAUAACAGUAGCGUCUAAUGAAAAUUUCAACAACUUAUUACGGGGUUAGUAUAAUUGAUGAAGUCACAAAUUGUAAACAGAUCAAUUAUAUAUAGCAUAAUAUUUAACAUCAAAAAAGUUAUAUCUAAUGAGAUAAGCAUAAAUUUAUGUAUGUUAUCUAUCAAAUGUGGCCAUCUAACUUGUGCAUCAAUGGUAGAAUUUGUCUCGAAACUUGUGAUUUAAUGCGUUAAUGCGUUUCUGACAGAGAAUGCACGCUCCUAAUUGCGGUGGACGCUGGUAAAGCAAGCAUAACAAGUCUACAUAUCUAUAUUAAUUAUAAAAUAAGAGACGAAAUGGUUAAGUGGACCUGCCAAUACAAUCUUUUAUUUUUUUAUACUCCCUCAGUUCCAAUAUUUUUUGUGCACUUAGUAAACCGUGCUUUUUUAAUCAAUAAUCAAUUUAUGGUGAAAGAAUGAAUGCAGCCGUGGGUCCUUAAAUGCUUUAGUAAUUUGUAGAUAAGCAUUCAAAGUGUAUGUGCUUUCAUAAUGGCUUUGCAUAAGGGACGCAUUGCUAUUUUAGCAAUUUUAGUGGAGAUGAGAUACAUCAUUUGGAACCCACAAUAAGUAUUAAAACCUCAUUGCUCCAUGGUGGCAAAAUUGGCCCAUGAUACUGCCUCUGCCUCUGCCUCUGCCAGUGCUCUAUAUAAAUAAAGCCGUUGUGCGCUUCAAAUGCAAAACAUACCGACCAAAACUAGAUAGUAGAUACUUCAAAAUCAACACAGCGAUGGGUCAACGGAAAACUUUCUUCCUCUCGUCUUCGGCGGUCAUCCUCUUCCUCUUAGCAGCGGUCAUCCAGGGAAGCCAUGCAGUGGAAUACGCGGUAACAAACACCGCCGCGUCCACCCCAGGUGGUGCCCGAUUCGGGAGGGACAUCGGGGUCCAAUACAGCAAGCAAACACUCGACUCCGCCGCGAAUUUCAUAUGGAGGAUCUUCCAGGAGAACGCUCCGGCCGACAGGAAAAACGUCCAGAAAGUUGACAUGUUCGUCGAUGACAUGGAUGGUGUUGCCUAUACCAGCAACGAUCAGAUUCACGUAAGCGCGAGGUACAUCCAAGGUUACUCGGGUGAUGUUAGAAGAGAGAUUACUGGGGCUCUCUACCAUGAGAUGACUCACGUUUGGCAGUGGAAGGGGAACGGACAGGCUCCAGAAGGAUUGAUCGAGGGAAUCGCGGAUUAUGUGAGGCUUCAAGCCGGGUAUGCACCCAGUCAUUGGGUGAAACCUGGGCAAGGCGACCAGUGGGAUCAAGGAUACGAUGUCACCGCCCGCUUUCUUGAUUACUGCAAUAGCCUGAAAAAUGGUUUUGUUGCGCAGCUUAACAAGAAGAUGGGGAACGGUUAUAGUAAUAACUAUUUUGUUGAGCUGCUGGGGAAGUCCGUCGAUCAACUCUGGAACGACUACAAAGCUAAAUUUAAUACCAACUAAGUUUAAUAUGUUAUGAAAUAAUUAUGAAAUAUGGAUGUCCGUUUAUAUUCUCAAGAAGGAAGAUAAAUGUAUUCUCCCUAAGUUCAUUGGUAUAUUGAAUGAACAUAUUUAUGGAUAUACUUGAAGUAUUAAAUUCAUGAAUUAGUAUUUAAUAAGGUUCAUAUAUCUUUGAUCUUGAAUCAACUAUAAAUAGCGGCGUAUCCUACUCCAUUGAAAUCUUGAAGAACUUUGAUGAGUGAAUGUAAUAAUACUAUAGUUCUUUAUUCUCUCUCCCUACUUCUCACUCUACUAUUUCAAUCCCUACGUUAGUAAUCUAUAUUAUUAGUUUUACAAUACGUUAUGAGCAUGAGUCUCUACUUUAAGCAAAGGAAAAGCAUGAAUCUCUAAUUUUUGAGCAAAAGUGAAGCAUGAGACGCUGUCAAGGUUCUGGCCGAAUCUAUUUUUGAUUACUGAUAGAGGUAAAAAAUUUUUCUACGAAUCUAUUGCAUAUUCUUAUGGCUAAUCUCACAAAACAAGAGUUCGUACCUCUUGAUAUUUCUCGAAAAAAUUAUUUAUCGUAGGUAUUAAAUGUUGAAAUCAUCUUGAGGCAAUGGGUCUUAGGAAUACUAUUGUUGAAGAGAAUGAAACCUCAAACCAAGACCGUGUUAAGGCCACGAUUUUCCUUCAUCAUCAUUUAGAUGAAGGAUUAAAAACAGAAUAUCUUACUGUGAAAGAUCUGCUUGUUCUUUGGAAAGAUUUGAAAGAAAGAUUCGACCACCUGAAGUUGGUCGUUCUUUCAAAGGCCCGAUAUGAUUAGUUUCACUUGUGAUUGCAAGAUUUUAAAUCUGUCAAUGAAUAUAAUUCAUCCAUGUUUACAAUUACUUCUCAAUUAACAUUAUGUGGUAAAAAAAUUACUGAUGAAGACAUGUUAUAGAAAACACUUAUUACUUUUCAUGUCUCUAGUAUGCUCCUGCAGCAGCAAUAUAGAGAGAAAGGAUUUAAGAAGUAUUCUAAACUUAUUGCAUGUCUCCUCUUGACUAAACAAAACAAUGAAUUAUUAUUAAAAAAUCAUGAGUUCUGACUAACUGGUAUUAGUCCAUUCCCUGAAGCCAGUGUGACUCAACCUCAAAAUUCUGGUCGUGGUUGUGGACAUAGUUGUAGAGGUGGUUAAGGAGGCCAAGGACAUAGUCGUGGCCGUAGACCCGCACAUGGCAGAUUUGAGCCUUAUGAUAAUGAUUGUGGCAAGCAACAAAAUAUCCCCUAGAAGUGGGAUAAUAACAAUGAAUAGAAAAAUGAAGAAACGAAAGUUUGAAGAAAAAUGCUAUCGGCGUGGCAUGGAAGAUCAUUGGUCUUGUACCUGUAGUACGGCUAACCACCUUGUUAACCUUUAUCAAGUAUCUUUGAAAAAGAAAGGCAAAAAUGUCGAGACAAAUUUUAUCGACCAAAAGGAUGCUUAUGAUUAUGAUGAUAUUGACAUGACACAUCUAGAUGUUGCUGAUUUCUUUGAGUAUCCUGAAAUUGCAAAAUGAUCAUAUAUUAAAUAUUUAAUAUUUGUCCAGAUAUUUAAUAUGUUGUUAGUCUUGCAUAUUUUAUCAAUUUACUUUGUAAAUAUCUAUUCUCACAUCUUUUAUUAAUGUUUAUUUUUGUUUAUCUUCUUCCUGAAGAAGAAAUGGAUGCCAAACAUUUGGGACUAUAUAAUGGUGAUGAUAACAUUUGUCUCAUUGAUAGUGCUAUUACGCACACUAUAUUGAAAGAUAAAAGAUAUUUUUCUUCUUUAGAGAUGGGAGAGGGAGAGACAAAUGUCAAUACCAUCAGUGGUAGUGCAAAAUUAAUUGAGAGAUCCGGAAGAGUCACUCUAUUCUUCCUGAAGGAACUAAAAUUGUCAUAAAUAAUACACUACUCUCUCUCAAGUCUCAAAGAAAUUUAUUGAGUUUUAGAGAUAUCCGCCAAAAUCGAUAUCGCAUCGGGACAAUGAAUUAGACAAAUGGUGAAGUUUUAGUAAUUACAAAUACCAUUUCUGGGGAGAAAUAUGUAUUAGAAAAAUUACCUCUGUUUUCUUCUGACUUAUAUUAUGCACAAAUAAGUGCUGUUGAAAUUAUCACCCAACAGACCAAGUCUACUCAUCCCAAUGAUUUUAUGAUUUGGCAUGAUUGUCUCGGACAUCCUGGAUCCAUAAUGAUGAGACAAAUAAUUGAGAAUUCACAUGGCCACUUAUUGAAAAAUCAAAUGAAUUCUCCUGUGCUACUUGUUCUCAAGAAAAAUUAAUUGUUAGACUAUCACCAGCUAAAGUUGGGACUGAAUCUCUCACAUUUUUAGAACGAAUUCAUGGUGAUAUAUGUGAACCUGUAAAUCUACCAUGUGGACCAUUUCGAUAUUUUGUGGUGCUGAUUAAUGCAUCAACUAGAUGGUCACAUGUAUGUUUUUUAUUUAUUCGCAACCUAGCGUUUGCGAGAUUACUUACUCAGAUAAUUAAAUUAUGAGUACAGUUUUUUGAUUACCCAAUUAGAAGAAUUCGUCUAGAUAAUGCUAGUGAAUAUUCGUCACUUGCUUUUGACGAGUAUUGCAUGUCCAUUGAAAUAACUGUUGAAUAUCAUGUAGCCUAUGUUCAUAUACAAAAUGGUCUAGCUGAGUCAUUUAUUAAAAGACUACAAUUAAUUGCUAGACCAUUGUUGAUAAGUUCUAAACUUCCUUUAUUUGUUUGAGGACAUGUUAUAUUACAUGCAGCAACACUUGUGAGAAUUAGGCCGACUAGUUAUCAUAAUUAUUCUACCUACAAUUAGUAUUUGGUUCUAAACCCAAUAUUUCUCAUUUAUGAAUAUUUGGUUGUGCGAUUUAUGUUCCUAUUGCACUGUCCCAACGUCGUAAAUUGGGGUCCAAAAGAAGAUUGGGAAUAUAUGUCGGGUAUGAAUCACCUUCUAUAGUUAAGUAUAUUGAGCCAUUGACAGAUGACUUAUUUACCGUAAGAUUUGCAAAUUAUCAUUUUGAUGAAUCACAUUUCUCGACAUUAGGGAAAGGAAAAGAUCAACCGAAAAAGGAAAUCCCAAAAAAGGAAAUCAUUUGAAAAUUUUCAUUAGAUUUCCUAGAUUCUCGUACAAAAAAAUGUGAAUUAGAAGUUCAAAGGAUCAUACAUUUACAAAAUAUUGCAAAUCAAUUGCCGGAUACAUUUAAUGACUCCAGAAGAGUCAUCAGAUCACAUAUUCCUGCUGAAAAUGCUGCGAUUAAAAUAAAUAUCCCUAAAGGACAAAUCACAAAUGCUAAUGAAUCUAAAGUACGCCUAAAGCAUGAGAAAUCUCUUGGUUCCAAAAAUAAAAAUCUUAGAAAGAAAAUAUGAUCAAAUGAAUCAAUAAUUAGUGACAAAAUUUAACCUCCUAAAAAGGUCGCUCCUGAAGAGUCAGUUCCCGAAGAGCCAACUCCUGAAGAGAAUAAAAUUAUAGAAAUUUCAAUGAACUUUAUCACUACAAUAAACAGUUGGAACCGAAGAGAAAUAAUUGCUGAUAGUACUUUUGCAUAUAAUGUAACACUUGAUAUUAUAAUAAAUGACGAGAAUCAUGAACCUAGAUCGAUUGAUAAAUGUCAACAUAGAAAUGAUUGGCCAAAAUGGAAAGAUGCAAUACAAUCUGAAUUAGAUUCACUGGCUAAAAGAAAAGUUUUUCGACCGAUAGUCCAAACACCUGAAGGCGUAAAGCCAGUUGAAUAUAAAUGGAUAUUUGUGAGAAAAAGGAAUGUAAAGAAUGAAAUUAUGAGAUAUAAAGCAAGACUUGUAGUUCAAGAUUUUUCACAAAGAUCUAGAUUUGAUUUUGAUGAAAUGUAUUCAUCUGUAGUGGAUACGAUCACAUUUAGGUAUCUCGUGAGUUUUGCAGUGCAUGGAAAACUAGAUAUACGUUUGAUGGACGUUGUCACUAAUUAUUUUGUGUGAAAAUCUUGCAAAUGAUAUUUACAUGAGAAUCCCUGAAGGAUUCAACAUGCCUGAAGCAUGUAAAUCAAAUUAUAGAGAUGUGUAUUCUAUUAAAUUACAAAGGUCUUUAUAUGGGAUCAAGCAAUCUGGACGUAUGUGGUAUUACCGUCUCAAUGAAUGCUUAACUAAAGAAGGUUAUUUAUGACCCAAUAUGUCCAUGUAUUUUUAGCAAGAAAAAUGGGUCAAAUUUUGUGAUAAUUGCUAUAUAUAUUGAUGAUCUCAAUUUGAUUGGAACUCCUGAAGAGAUCCAAAAGGCUGUCGAAUAUUUGAAGAAAGAAUUUGAGAUCAAAGAUUUUGGAAAGACAAAAUUCUGCAUUAGUUUACAAAUUGAGCAUUUAGAAGGUGAAAUUUUUGUCCACCAAACUGCUUAUACUCAGAAGGUAUUAAAGUGGUUCUGUAUGGAUAAAGCGCAUACAUUAAGUACCUCAAUGGUCGUCAGAUUACUAGAUCCUAAUAAGGAUCCUUUUAGGCCACGAGAGGAAUAUGAAGAGAUACUUGGUCCUGAAGUACCAUAUCUCAGUGCAAUUGGUGCGUUAAUGUAUCUUACUAAUUGUAUAAGGCCAGAUAUAUUAUUUGCUGUGAAUUUAUUAGCAAGAUUUAGUUCCUUGCCUACAAGACGAUAUUGGAAUGGUAUUAAACAAAUUUUUCGCUAUCUCCAAGGAAUAAUUGAUUUUGGUUUGUUUUAUUCGAAUAAAUCUAAGCCUGAGUUACUUGGUUAUACUGAUGCUGAGUAUUUAUCUGACCCACAUAAAGCAUGAUCUCAGACUGGCUAUCUCUUUACUUGUGGUGGUACAGUCAUUUCUUCGUAUUCUACAAAAUAAUCCUUAACUGCCACUUCAUCAAAUCAUGCUGAAAUAAUAGCAAUUCAUGAGGCCAAUCGAGAAUGUGUUUGGCUAAGAUCAAUAACCCACUAUAUCCGAAAGAGUUGUGGGUUAUCCUUCGAGAAGGAAAAUCCUCCAACAAUUUUAUAUGAAGAUAAUGUAACUUGUAUAGCUCAGUUAAAAGGAGGAUAUAUUAAAGGAGAUGGGACGAAACAUAUUUUACCAAAAUUUUUCGUUACUUAUGAUUUGCAGAAGAAUGGUGAGAUUGAUAUGCUACAAAUUCGAUUAGAUAAUAAUUUGGCAGAUUUGUUUACCAAGCCAUCGCCAACUACUAUAUUUGAGAAACUGGUGAAGAAUAUUAGUAUGCAUCGGCUAAAAGAUCUCAAAUAAUAUUUGCAUCAGGGAGAGAAAUUAUUACAUAAGAAUAGUGUACUCUUUUUCCUUCACUAGGAUUUUUUUGUCCCACUGGAUUUUUUCCUAGUAAGGUUUUAACGAGACAUAUUCUUUGUAUAAUGGACAUCCAAAGGGGAGAGUUAUGAAAUAAUUAUGAGGUAUGGAUGUCCGUUUAUAUUCUCAAAAAGGAAGAUAAAUGUAUUCUCCCUAAGUUCAUUGGUACAUUGGAUGAAUACAUUUAUGGAUGUAUUUGAAGUACUAAAUUCAUGUUUUAGUAUUUAAUAGGGUUCAUGUACUUUUGAUCUUGGAUCAACUACAAAUAGGGGUGUAUCCUACUCCAUUUGAAACCUUGAAAAACUUUGAUCAGUGAAUAUAAUAAUACUAUAGUUCUUUAUUCUCUCUUCCCGCUUGUCACCCUACUAUUCCAAUUCCUACGUUAGUAAUCUAUAUUAUUAGUUUUACAAUAUAAUACUACUACUACUUGCUAUCAAUAUGAGCUUUGCAUAUCAAUAUGUUUGCCCUGUGCUCUCAUGGGAUAGCAACGACACAGGUGCCAUGGGUGCCAACCUCGUGGGGGAGUAAUGGGUAGGGACGGAGCACGAGUAAGGGAGAUUUUUCUCUACCCCACCCUAUCCCAUACUCCAUCUCCCACUUAAAUUUAUUAAUAUAAAUAAAUAUAAUAUUAUGUGUAAUCUAAAAAUAAUACUUAGGAUAUUGAUUAUCUCUAUUAUUUUAUUUUAUUUUGUUCUAUGUUAUAUUGGAAUUAAGGUUUGACAUUUUUUUGGAUCUUUCUUGAUUUUUUAAAAUAACCAUUGCUGUAAAGAAUCAAAUUGAAACAGAGAUGUUUGGAAAUUAUUUUGAAAACACCAGAUUCGUAGUUGGUAUUUGGCAUAGGCAUAUUUUGGGCUACAUGAGCAUUCGCAAGGGUUAUUUGUAGAAUUUGAUUAAGGUUUCUAUUUUUUUUUUGGGUGCUUUCUUGAUUCUUUUUUGUUCUUUUUUUCCCUUUUCAUUUUUUCAAUUCUCUUUUUUUAUUUUUGUUCAUUAAAUUUAGUCUUGAUCUAUUGGAGAUGGAUUUGGGAGUCGGGUUAAGUUUCACCCUAUCAAGAUGGAAUAAGUUUAAGACAAUUAAAAAAAUAAAAUUAUCACCCUCAAGUGCUCACAUAGGGUGCAAGGCGGGAAGGGAAGGGGGGAUUUGAGGGAACGGGGGUGGGGACCAGAGGAAUUUUUUGGCAAUGGAGAGGACUCGACAGCAGAUCCCUCCCUCACUCUAAACUAACGAUGUUGUUAGAUGCGGACCAGAUCAGUUGGUCUGAUCAAUCUGACCACAAACCAGCCUUCUUCCUGAAUUGAUGAGUAGCACAAAAUUGUUUUGUUUAAAAACCAACCUAACCAAUGACCCAAUUUGACUACUUAACCCGGUUCUCAAUUUUUUUUUAAUUUUUCUGAACAUAAUUUGAAUUACCUAAAUUAUAAAACUUUCAUUUAUUAAUGGGAAUAAAAAAAAACACCACCACUUAGUGUAAAUACCAAAAUCACUCAUACCCUUAAACGAUUUCUAAACCAAGAAGUUUUCAUUUUUAUCCUUAUCAAUUUAUCAUUAGUGAUUCCAACUUGUAUUAGAAAAUCAUAAAGAUUUCGAAUUGGGAAUAAUUUGUUUUAGUUUAGUUUUUCGAAUAGUUUUGGGGUAUGGACAUAUUUUAAACAUGAAUUCAUAUUUUUAUAUAUAAUUUUUAGAUGUAUAUUUGAUUGCAAGUCUAAUAUUUUUAAAACAUUUUAUAUAGUUGGUCAAAAUAUAACCAAGAACUUAAUUCUAUAUUUCUAAAACUAAAAAAAUAUAAACCCCAAGAUUCGUUUAGUAAAAGGGUUUCGGAAUGAGGAAUUAGUAUAAACUCCAAAAUUCAUGUUUGGUUCACUACUAUCGGAAUUGAAAUUUUGGAAUGAUAUCUAAAAAUUUAGCAUUUCACCAUUCCUUAGUAAGUUGGCGGGUUUUGUCCAAAACCCAAGUGUGAUUCCAAAAUCUUAUAAUUAUAUAAUAUUUUUAGUAUAAUUAAUAUUUAUAUAUAUAUUAUAUAUUUAUAUUAUAAUAUUACAUAUAUAUAAUAUAUUAUAAUUAUAAUAUUUUAUUAUAAUAUUAGUAUAUUAUAUAAAUAUAUAUUAUAAUUAUCUAGUUAAAUAUAAUUAUAUUUACAUAAUAUAUUAUAAAUUUAUUAAUAUUAUAUAAUAAUAUAUUUAUAAUAUAUAUGUAUAUUUAUAAAUGUAUAUUAUAUGUGCAUAUAAUUAUAAUAUAUAGGUGUAUAUAAUAUUAAUAAAUUAUAUAAUUAUAAUUAUAAUUAUUAUUUUAAAUAUAAUAAUAACUAUAUUUAAUAUGUAAUAUACAUUAUAUUUAUAUAAAAUAUUAGUACAAUUAAUAUUUAUAUGUUAUAUAAUUAUAAUUAUAUAUUUAUAUUAUAACAUUUGUAUAAUUAUAAUUAAUUAUAUAUAAUAUUUAAUUUAAUUAGUUACAAACUUCCAAUAAUGAUAUUAUUAUAUUAUAUAAUUAUAUAUAUAUGUAUAUAUAUUUAUAAUAUAUAUGUAUAUUAUAUGUGCAUAUAAUUAUAAUACAUACAUGUAUAUAAUAUUCAUAAGUUAUAUAAUAAUAAUUAUUAUUAUUAUUUUAAAUAUAAUAAUAUAAAUAAUAACUAUAUUUAAUAUGUAAUGUAUAUUAUAUUUAUAUAAAAUAUUAGUAUAAUUAAUAUUUGUAUAUAUUAUAUAAUUAUAAUUAUAUAUUUAUAUUAUAACAUUUGCAUAUUUAUAUUUAAUUAUAUAUAUAAUAUUUAAUUUAAUUAGUUACAAACUUAUAAUAAUAUUAUUAUUAGUUAUACAUAUUAUAUAAUGUAUAUUAAUUUAUGUAAUAUAAUUGCUAUUAUCAAUUAUACUAAUAAUUAUACAUGUUUACUAACAGAAAUUAUUAAUUAGUUAUACUAAAUUUACUAAUUUAUUUAUAGUAAUAUAUUUAAUUAGUGAAAAUUUCUUAUAUCCCAUUUACAAAAAGUCAAUGACUAUCAUUUACGAAGUGGUUUAUAAUAUAGUUAUUAUAUUCCAUUCCGAAAGAGCUGACGAACAAAUAUCAACUAUAGUUACGAUACACAUUUCAGGUACUUGAACCAAGCAGAUGUAUUGGAAUGAAUGACCUUAUUCCAAACCCAAGAUAUCCGAUUCCGAAUCCGAAUCCAAAUCCGAUUCCAAUGUGCGAACCAAAUGCCAAAAUAAUGAUGUCAUCAUACUGAUAUUUGCAAGUUUUUUAGAUCGAUUUGAUCAAUUAACCCCUAGCCUAAUAGUUUAAUCGAAUUGAUAUUCGGUCCGAGUUUAACAACAUUGCAAACCGGCCCAUUGUGAUCCCUGCUCACAAUAGACGGUGUAGUGCACCCGUCUGAUCCGGUGGUGGUUCAAUUCCCUCCGGAUUACUCUAGCAUCUCUUUAGGCCCUUCCCCUUCCUAUAUUAUAGGAAGCUAUCGUAUCGACAAAAAAAAAAAAAAUCCCUACUCGCAAAGAUGCUUCACUAGAAAGCUGGAAAACCAAGUUUGCACUUCACUUGCAGUUGACUUCAAAUAAGAUAUAGUCAUGUGGCUUCACAGGAUCAGCUCAAGUGCUCAUUGACGUGCCUUUUUCUCCAUGGUGGAGAAGUCACCACAUGGCGUAAAGCUGUGAUGUGCACAGGGUAUACAUAUACAAUUUACUCAUCUACAAUCAAGUUUUACAUUUAUAAUUCCUAAAUAUCCCACACAUGAUUUAUCACAAGUAUACGAAUAGUGAGCGAGUAUAGGGUAUUAAGGAUCGAUCCCAUAGGGAAGAUUGCAAUUAUCGGUGUUUUUCGAACUCUUUUAUCAUCUAGACUACCGUAAACAUAAAAGUAAUGAAAAUUAGCACUAGAGAGUUUCUAGAGAUAUGGAAUUCCUCACUAGAGAGCUCUGUUCCAGCUUACGACAGAAUUUAUGUUUCUAUAUUUCAACAUUUUGACAAGGAAAAUAACUGAUUUGGACUAUGAUUGCUUCAUAACAAAUGUAAAUCUAUCUUUACCUUCAAAAUGGUUGAAGAAUUAUCUCAAUCCAAUGCUUGUAACUCAAGAUAUAGCCAAAAUACAAAAAUAUGUCAAACCUGUGAAACUUGUUUCCUUUUGUUCUUGCUUGCAUUUCCUUUUUUGCACUUCAUGUCUUCUUUAAACAAUUUCAAACCAUUAUCAAUCAUCCAAUUAUCUUCUCAAUUCAUGCCAUUUGAUGAUCAAAUUAUUAAACUUACAAAAAUAUGAAGUUUUCACCAUAAAAAUCUAUAGAAAUGUAAUUUUCAACUUCAAUCAUAAAAUGCAUAUUUUCUCUAGAAUCUUAGUUAAUUAACACACCAAAGCUAAUUGUUAAAGCACACGUAAAACACGUAAAAUAUAUACUUUUCAAGUUACUCCAUUUAGGCAGAAAGACCCACAAGUCCAUUGCUCAAUUUGAUCUUGUUUGCUAGCCCAACCAUGGGGAAUAAUUCAAUUUGACGUUGUUUGCUAGCCGAGCCAUGGGGCUAAUUUCUUAGAAUAUUCGUAUAAAAACAUCCGCUAAAUGAAGCUCUGACACACCCUAUUUCUCAUUCUAUAUCUGCUGUGCUGACUCAGCACGGCAGCAAAAAUGAAUUUCCCAUUCGUAGUCUGACAGCAUAAAAUUCAGUAGGGGUCAGAGGGGUCAGUCGCAGCCAUGUUGACUGUGCACGGCUGCCUGACGCAGAUGUCAGCCGCUGCACGUGCAUGACUGCGGCUGACCCCUCUGACCCCCUUGCAGCCACUGUCGGCUAACUUCGACAAAAAAAAAAAAAGGCUAAGAGUUUGGGGUUCCGUCUAUGGUGGAAGGGAAGAGCAAACGAAAUUUGGCCAAAACAUCAUUGCGGGGCCGGGCAAGAGUUAGCUAUUAAAUGAACUACUGGACACCGAGUAGAAUUGGUUGAUUAUGUGGUCCCCUUCUAUUUCAACGAGAAAUAAAAAGCAAGCCCCUCAAACUUGUUAAGGGGCUUGUUUUUUAUUUCUCGUUGAAAUAGAAGGGGACCACAUAAUCAACUAAUUCUAUCCGGUGUCCAGUAGUUCAUUUAAUAGCUAGCUCUUGCCCGGCCCCGCAAUGAUAUCUUGGCCAAAUUUCGUUUGUUCUUCCCUUCCACCAUAGACGGAACCCCAAAUCCCUAGCCUUUUUUUUUUGCCGAAGUCAGCCGACAGCGGCUGCAAGGGAGUCAGAGGGGUCAGCCACAGCCGUGCUGACUGUGCACGGCUGCGGCCGACAUCUGCGUCAGGCAGCCGUGCACAGUCAGUGACAAGUGCCGAACCUGUGCAAUAAUAAUAAAUAAAACCUAACUACCACCAAAAGCAGUCAAUAAUCAAUUCUAAGUACUGGAGCAGGGAUUUUAGGUGUGCAAUGGGUUACUUGAUUCACCAUAUUCCCGAAGAGUUUGUUUAAUCCGAUAUACUAGAAUUAAUUAUCUGACCAAAUUCACUAACUAGUAGACAGUGGCAAGUAGGGUCGUCUCCUCAGGGACUGGAGAGAAAUUUGUUUCUUUUUUAGUCAAGACAAAUGAGGGUUUUCAGGAUUAAAUGCUAACUAAAUAAAUGAAAUGCAGAAAAUAAUGAAUUAAAAGAAAUAAUUGGGAGAACUCUAGCCAAGGGUGCACUUCAGAAAUGGUUCAUGCACUGAUCAUUGAUUCCCACAGAAUUCAAACAAUUAUUAAUAGAUUGGUUAUAGUUGUCAUGCACGCGAUAAACAACCAACCCUUCCUUAAUUUCUCGAUAGUUAAGGUACAACCGUUAACUAUUUCUCUAACCCAAAAAUAACCCUAGGUACGACCAUAAGAUUUAAUUUCUAGAUGACAUUAAUAAUUAGAAAGGCCCAAUUCUAACUAACAAACACGCUACGAGGGUUUGUUUCAAUUAGAUCAUGCGUUUCCCUGACAUAAACACAAUUACGCCAGUUGCUACUGAGAUAGGGAUAUUGGAACAAUUACGGAUUCAAUUACCCCUAAUUAGCAUAUUAACUUACGUGAAUAAUUAAUUAUUGCGCAUUAAUCAAUCAUACACACGAGCUAUAGCAAUUAAAAGCAGGAAACAUAUAAAUACCAAUAAAUAAAAGAAAUAAUUAAAAUAAAUUCGAUCUUACAGUAAUUGUCGAACCAAAUCCUCAGUUAACUAGAAUUGGAGAGUUAGUUCUCCAUUAAUGGAGAACCAUCCAUGCGAAUGGUUAGAGAAAGAGGCCCCCAAGACUUGACUUCCACCAUUGAUUGAAAGAAAGAAAAGAUCGAAAGCCUAACAAGUAAAAGCCUCCUCCCCAGAGAGCUUGUGGAGCAGACCAUGAUGAAUUAAUCUCCGUCAAUGUUGCAAACCAACUCUUAAUCACGCGGGAUCCGGCUUUUUUUUUUCCUCUCGUUUGUUUUGUUUCCUAUUUAGCUUCUACUACUCAUUGUUCCUUUCCAAACGUGAAAGAAGGAAUAAAAAUAGACUAGCCUCCUUUUUUCUUUCCUAAGAAGUAGCAAUCAAAAUGGGAGCCGGCCUUUUCUUUUCCUAUUUUUUAGUUUCUCAAAUACAUUGAACUUCCUAAUUUUCCUAAGAAGAAGAUAUUUCCUCCUAAUCUAAGACGUUUCCCAACUGUAUUUGAAAACAUGCUUCUAAGUCUUCGGCUUGAAUUAGGAAACUGCCAUGCGUGAACCCCUACUACUAGAAAAAUAGCUUUUAGUAACACUUGUAUUAUGACAUUUUUUCCUAAAUGUCAUAAUAGGGUGUUAACAUGACAGUCAGUAAGGAGUGUCAUUAAAAAGGUGCCAAAAAUAGACAAAACUACACCGUAUCACCCUUAAUUUUGAAAAUUGGCUCUAUGUUUUAGCGCGUGAUUAUUUUCACCCAAAAUUCUAAUAUUUCCUCCCUUUUCUUACUUACCAUAUCUCAUCACAUCUCUCCUCACCCGCAGCAUUCUCUCUCUUUUUGUACUGUGACCUUUCCCUCCCUCUCUUGUAUCUCUCAAUUUAGGGUAGAUUUAGCCAAUUUUCUUGCCAAUCUGCUAAUUUUUCAAGGAGGAAGCAACUAGGAUUCAUCCCACCGAUGGAGGUAUGAUGAUUAAGAUGUUUGUUUAGUUUAUUGAAUAUCAAUGAUUCAAUUUUUUGUUAACAUCAAGGUUGUUUUCUUUUUGAUUUCUUGUAUUUAAGAGAUAAUUUUAACUUUAGGUCUAAAUGGAUGCCGUCGAAAGAUAAUUGUUUUUUGGAUGCCGUCGAAAGAUUCCAAGUAAAUGUUAUAGCCUUCUUUAGCAUCAGUUUGGUAGCAUCUGUGACCCACCACAUGUUUGAUAAAUUGACUAAACGAGUUUUUCAUUGCUUGCCAAAUGGAUUUGCUCUCUAGUUUACUCAAUUCUUCCAAGCAACAUGCCCUUUAGUUUUUUGCCAAGGCUCUGCCUUCUUUUUUUGAAAUUUAUUUUAUAAACUAAUCUUGAGUUGAAUAGAGAACUGAAAUACUGCAACAUGGUUGAAUGUGUCUUUAUGUUUUCUCUUCGGAUCUUUAGUUUGAACAUGCAUUUUCUGUUUGAGAUAUUUAGCUGUUUUUGUCUAUAUAGAGCUGGUCACAUCAAACACAAGCUCAGGCAAUGUUGUAGCUCGUCGGCCAAGAGGCAGGCCACCUAACUCCAAAAACAAGCCUAAACCCCCGGUGAUAAUCACUCAAGAGAGUGCCAACACGCUCCGAGCACAUAAAUUAGAGGUCAGCAGCGGCUGUGAUGUGUUUGAAUUAGCUGCAACAUAUGUUAGAAAAAGGCAAAGAGGUAUUUGUAUAUUGAGUAGUAGUGGCACGGUCAACAAUGUGAGCUUGAGGCAACUGGCUGUUGUCGGCUCAGUCAUGACGUUACAUGGCUGGUUCGAAAUUUUAUCAUUGUCGGGCUCCUUCCUUCCACCACCAGCUCCACCGGGUGCCACCAAUUUGACCAUAUAUUUGGCUGGAAGAUACGGUCAAGUUGUUGGAGGAAAUGUUGUGGGAGCUUUGAUUGCUUCUGGACCUAUGAUUGUUAUUGCUGCUUCUUUCACUAACGUAGCAUAUGAAAGACUGUCUUUAGAUGAAGAUGAUCACUCACUUCAGGUGCAGCCACCUAUGGUGUUUCAGCCCUCCAUUGGUGGCAAUGGCAGUGGCACUAGUGGUGCUGUUGCUGGUGGCUCAAAUAAUAAAUUUUCUAAUCCAUCUUUAGGGCUUCCCUUAUUCUAAAUUAGUAUAUAAUUUGUAGACACUUUUGGUGUAGAUUGUUUGGAUGAUGUACUUUUGCACAAGUUUGGAUGAUUGUAUUGCUUCUUUUAUAUUAUUGUACUAGCUACGUUACAAUCCUUCAAAAUUUAGGAUUGGAGAUGCUUGUGUGGCAGGAUGAAAUGUGGUUUCUGCCGUCAUAUGAUAUGCAGCAAGAAGUUGGAACACUUUAAUUUAGAUGCUACACUGACAAGUAGAAAAUGUCAUAAAAGCCUGAUCUAGUUACUCUUCAAAAGUGUCAUAAUAUUUCUAUCUACUUAUACUAAAAAGUGUCAUGAUAUGUUAUUGUACCCCAACAUUUCUUGUCAUUUGAAAGUGUCAUAAUAUGUAUAGAUAAUGACAUUUAAUAGUGUCAUAAUAAUGAUAAAUUGGGACACUUAAAACUGUCAUAAACCUAUCGUGACGCUAGAAUGGACGACGCUUCUAAUAGAGCGUCAUUAGAGCCUAAACGCUAUGACAUAAAUCUAUAAUGACGCUUUUGAAUGUCAUAAAAGAACACUUUUGUAGUAGUGCCCGUCAUCUCUAGAUUUGACAGUAAUUCUUGAAAAAUUACCCUUUCAUCACAUGUUGCUCAUUUUUCUACAAUUGGCACCAUUAUACCAAACAUAAGUAGAAUCCGACAAUUAAAAUAAUAUUUGGCUAAAAUCAAGGAAAGAAUAAUUAUAAAUUUAGCAACAAAUUAUGACUUAUCAGUUAGCAUAGCUGCGACUGAGCCCUCUGACGACCCAUACUGAGUUUUAUGCUGUCAAACUGCGGAUGGGAAAUUCAUUUUUGCUGCCGUGUUGAGUCAGCACGGCAGGUAUAGAAUGAGAAAUAUAGUGUGUCAGAGCUUUAUUUGGCGAAUUUUUUUUAUACGAAUAUUCUAAGAAAUUAGCUGAGCCGUGGGGAAUAAUUCAAUAUGAUGUUGCCGCUAGCCGUGGGGAAUAAUUUGAGGCAGUCUGGCACGUCCACUAACGACAUUAGUCAAUUUUAGAACUUUUAAAACUUUUGUAGGUUUUAGCUAAAAUUUAUCAACCAUACGUCCAACGCACUUAUCUUAAGUGAUUCAUUGGGUUCCUUUUAAUUUUUCUUUUAAAGUUUUUUUGUCUAAAAAAAAAUUUUUACUCUCAAAAUUUCCCACAAGAAAUCAACUGCUAGGCAUCUUUUCUUUCACAAAAUUUUUGAAACAAACUUUACAAAAUAAAAAAAAUUAUACAAAACGAAAUAAAUGUUAAACUAAAGGAAAUUUAAUUGCUAUUAGGAUUUUUCAUAAAGUUGAUUGAAUCCAAUUAACAAGUCAAAGGAAAUUUGCUUUAUAUUAGAAUUUAUAUAAAAUAGAUAUUUGCAUUCGGAUUUAUUUAGAGGCUAUUCACUCCAUUUAACACACUAAUAAUCAAGACUUUAAUUGACAAAAAUAGUAUUAUUUCCUCCGAAGUUCAUUAUUGUGAUUCUAAUGAUUAGGGGUGGGCAAAAUUAUCCGCUAACUCGAAAACCCGUCAUAUCUGAUCCGAUCCGAUCCGAAAAUUAGAAUAUCCGAUUUUUAUUAUUUGAUUGGGUCAAAAGAGGGUCGGGUAUCUGCUAAGAUGUAGGACGGGUUAGAAUCACAUAAUUAAAAACCCGCAGGUACCCGAUCCGCCCCACAUAUAUAUUUUUUAUUUUUAUUUUUAUACACACACUAUAAAAUAAUAAUUUAGAACUAAAUAAGUAAUUUUAUUGAACAAAUUAUAUUACAAAUAUGAGAUACUAUAGUUUAUUUACAAUAUUCAUUUGUAGAGGUCAUUAUCUUGUAUUUUAUAGAAAAAAGUUUAAUUAAUGUAGAACAUAUAUAUUAAAAAUUGUGCUACUUAUUUCAAACUUUUAUUGAUUUUGAAUUCUUUUAAUUUUUUUCCUUUAUCUUAUAUUCUCUUCACAUGCUUGUUUCUUAGUGGGAAAUCUGUUUUUAGAAAAAAAAUUAUUAAAUCUUAGAUGAAUGUGUAAAAUAUAAAAUUAAAUUGGUAUAAACUAUUUUUUUUAAAAAAAAUUAAAUGAUAAAUGGGGGCAGGGCGGGUACCCGUUGACCCGACCCUAUCUCAGCGGGUACCCUAUAAUCGGAUACCCACUAAUAUGCGGGGCAGGUAAGAGUCAGAAAAUGACUGACCCGCAAGGUACGGGUCGGAUCAGCCAAAUGGUGAAUGGGGGGGUAUCGGACCCGCGCCCACCCCUGCUAAUGAUCUAACUCCCUAGAUUUCAUCAUUAUCUUUUGAAGGAUAUGUGUUCCUUCAAGCUCCAUUGUUAAGAGGCAAUGCUUUUUUCUUCCUUUUUUUUGGCUUUAAAAUGUCUUCUAUUAUAUUUUUAUGUAUGUAUGAUUAGUCUAUUUGAAGAUACUAUCGUAAUGAUUAUUUAUUAAUUUUUUAUUUAGUUUUGGAUCUUAAUUGCAGUCCGUGUUUAAUUUAAAGAUAGAAUUCAUUAUUUUUAUAUCAUAGACAGCAGUAGGAACUAAAAAGUGAAACCUUUCCAUGUUGUCCUUAAAAUUAUUUUAACAAUCCAAUUCAAUUUUUUAUACCUUUAUUAUGAUUAUUUAUUCGUAUCCAAGAAAUUAAUAUGAGUAGGCCUCUAUUGAUCUAAAAUAAUUACAAUUUAAGAUGAAUUGAAAAUUUGCAACAUUAAUUAAUCUAAAAAGGAUAGAAGUUAUAAGAUUAAUGAAUACGCAUUAAUAAAUAAGUAGAUACAGUAUUAAAUGAGUAUAAAGGAAAAAUGAGGUGGAAUACAAAUAAAUUAAAAGUUAAAUGCAUUAUUAGUCUAUAAGGCAAUAUUUUGAGAUUCAAGUGUAUAUAAGGCAAUACUUGUAAGCUCAAGGGUAAUGUGAUGUGAUAUAUAGAGUUGGAUAUGAGUAGUAUGUUAGGUGCACAAUCGAUGUCUAGUGAGUAGAUAGUAGCAUAUAUAGAUAUCACUAUAAAAUGUGGUCUUUGAAAAUAAAAUUAGGGAGAGUUCUGUAGAUUAACAACGUGAAUGAUCACAAAGGUUAAGUGAAUUAGAAUAGUUCAGAGAAAGAUACUUGAAAGCAGAUUGUUGGAUUUUUAUAGUAAGUCGGCAAUAGAUCAUAGUGCAGGUAAACAUGUUGAAGUUUCAAAUGUUGAAAUCAACCAAAUAAGAGGUCUUAUUAUAACGGAAAACAUAAUUUAUUUUUCAAAUUGGGCGGAUAUGAAAUGUGAAUGUGAUGUAAAUCAUUCAUAUAAUAAAGGCAGUGAUUAUUUCUCAAAUUUUAGAUUACCACCCUUGAUCAAAAGAUCUUUUUUUUUUUUUUGUCAAAAAAAUUUAGAAUGACUUCACUUUCGAUAAUGACCACAGGUCAUGGGUAACUAAAAGAAAAUUUAACUAGUGAAAUUAUCUAGUAAACAAACUAAUUAUCGAUUAGGAUGAAAAACCUUUUAAUAUUGGCGAAUAGGAAUUGGACUAUCGGUAGUGGGUUUAUUUUAUCAAUCCCGCUAACAAAACGUGUCCAUAACUCGUGUUCGUAAAUGGAUUCCAAUCCACGAACGAAGUAUGUACGUGAUUUUUGUUGGGCAGGGAACAAGAGAAUGUAAAAGGAAGGCGGAACAACUACUAGGAAUGUAAUCGAGUUGAAUCGAAUUCGAGUGAAUAGUAUUAUUGGAGUUUAAGCUCGAACUCGAUGCUUACUCACAGAACUCGAGAUCAACUUGCAUGGACUCCAAUCAAUAGACAUUUUCAUUUUUCUUGAUAAUUUUUGAGUGAAAAGACAUUAUUGCCCUUUAAAAAUAUUUAUAUGAUUUAAAACAUUUCAUAAAUUCAGCAACUCUUUUGAGUAUAAGAGUAAUUUUUUAAUAAUAUAUUAAAAAAUUAAAAUUAAAAGCUCGAUAAAACUUGAUGAGCUUUCGAGCAUUUGUUUUUGGGUACUCGAACUCGACUCGUUUUGCUUAUUGAAACGCUUGAACUCGGUCAACCUGAGUCCGAGUCAAGUUUUUGACUGAGUUACUCGCAAGCAGUUCGAUUUUAUUACAGCCCUAAGAACAACAACCACCAUCAAUUUCAGCGCUUGUACUCAUGCUAUGCAUCCACUCUGCAGUGCAAAUGUUUUAAAGGGCGAGGGCACUGCGCAGAGUGGUUUAUGUCCAUCCAAACAAGGCAAAAGGCCCGAGGUGUGGGCGUAACUCCCAAAAAAUUUGAUUUUUAAAUAUAUAAAAUAAUACUACAAAAUUAUAACAUUCAUACAUAAGUGUGAACAUAUGUUACUAAUAAAUAUAAAACAUGGAUAAAAUUAUGAAAAUAUUAUUGUUGUCUAACAAAUAAAAUUACAACAUAACUCUAACUCAUAUAUUAGCCAUAUAAAAUCAUAUUAAUAAAAGAUAGUUAUAAUUUGGUAUCAAAGAAAAGAAAAAAAAAAAGGAAACAAAGUCAAGAUAUGAAGGAUAAAAUAGUAAAAUCAAAAUUCAAAAUAAAAACAAAAACAAAAACAAAAACACCCCGAACACCCCAAACGCCCGGGCAUUCGCGUUGCGCCCCAUUCAAAAGCCGUGGGGCAUUUGGGAUUCGCCUCGCCUCGAGACUUGCCCUAGAAAUGCCUUAUAAAACAGUGUUGCAGUGUUGUUCAGCUCUAUGCCAUAUGGACAUAUACCAACCAGAGACUAAUCCCUUUCUUCUCUUGCAGGCAGUUCUGCUUGUUUGUCCAGUGAUUUUGUUACGAUUUCAACCGCCCAUGAGAACAUCUCACAGACCGCUACUUCUUUAUCCCCUUUGUCUCUUACCAAGAGGGAUCUCUAUGUGCAGUGAAUACAAAAAUAAAUCGUCCUUCAGAAGCAUAGCAACUAGUCACAACAGGUUAACAUAAUUUUCAUGAACUUUAAUUGGCCAGUGUCCUAAAGGAAAUACUUCUAAGGCCUAAGAGUAUUAUUCUUGUUAGAAUUGUUACUGUUAUCGCGAGAAAGAACUACUAGUUGUCAUUGGAUAAUAUAGUGAAAUUUGUAUUUACUGUGGAUUCAAAGUACGAUUUAGCAAAAUCAUUUGUACAAUCACCCAUUUUUCAAUUUUCCUUUUCUCGCCUCGCAUGCCAUUCUGAUGGCACUCAGAAAAUUUCUCCGAAGUCUUUUGCCAAAAGAUCAUGCAUUUAUACGGUCAAGGACUAGUGUUGUUAUGCCGCCGCACCAUACAUUUGACGGCUCAUGACGGUUUAAAAUAGGUUGAGUUCAGUUCGAUUGAUCUAAGCCAUCAACUCUUUAAUGACAAUCCUGCAAGUUUGACAAGAUUUUUGAUGUAACCACAAGGCAUUAAUUUUACGACACCUAUACUAGCCUCCUCUGUGGGCUGUAUUAUUACCUGACUAAGAAAUUGGGCAUCAGUGUUAUAGGCACCGGCAAAGCCAGGAUUUGGUCCUUGGAGACCGGGGCAAAAGUGAUAUGUAUCACAGUAGUGUCUAAUGAAAAUUACAACAACUUAUUACGGGAUUAGUAUAAUUGAUAGAGUUACAAAUUGUCAAAAGAUUAAUUAUGUAUAGCAUAAUAUUCAAAAUCAAAAAAGUUAUAUCCAAUGAAACAAGUAUCAAUUUAUUUAGGGCAAAUUCCACUUUAUCCCUCUGUGGUUUAGUAUUUUUUUACAUAAUUCCCCUAUGGUUUCAAAAGCUAUAUAUAACCCCCUCAUAGUUUGGAUUAAAGUGUUAAAGUGACGAGAAUGAUCAUUCGUAACGGAGUCACCUAAAAUGUCAAAAUACCCUUAUGUAAAGUUGAAAAUUAUUUAUUAACCAAGGGGGGGUUAUGUGUAUAUUUUGAAAACCAUAAGGAGGUUAUAUGGUAAAGUAUUAAAUCAUAAAGGGAUUAUAUGAUAAAAUAUAAAAAUCAUACGGGAUUAGUAUGUCAUACAUUUAUAAGGGUAAUUUCGGCAUUUUUAGAAGUUCCGUUACGAAUGAUUAUUUCCGUCACUUUGACACUUUAAUUCAAACUAUGAGGGGGUUAUGUAUAGUUUUUAAAACCAUAGGAGGGUCAUGUAAAAAAAAUGCUAAACUACAGGGGGUAAAAUGUAAUUUACCCAUUUAUUUAUGUUAUCUAUCAAAUUAAGCCAUUCUAAAUUGUGCAUCAAUGGUAGAAUUUGUCUCGACACUUUUAGUAAUAUGCUAUUGCACAUAAGUUAUCGAGGAACAUUUGCAAGAAAGUUCUAUUCUGUUUUGUUUCGGAAUGAAGUGUCAUGCAUUUAGGCACAGAAUGCACGCUCCUAAUUGCGGUGGACACCGGAAAAGCAAGCAUAACAAAUCUACAUAUCUAUAUUAAUUAUAAAAUAAGAGACGAAAUGGUUAAGUGGACCUGCCAAUACAAUCUUUUAUUUUUUUAUACUCCCUCAGUUCCAAUAUUUUUUGUGCACUUAGUAAACCGUGCUUUUUUAAUCAAUAAUCAAUUUAUGGUGAGAGAAUGAAUGCAACCGUGGGUCCUUAAAUGCUUUAGUAAUUUGUAGAUAAGCAUUCAAAGUGUAUGUGCUUUCAUAAUGGCUUUGCAUAAGGGACGCAUUGCUAUUUUAGCAAUUUUAGUGGAGAUGAGAUAUAUCAUUUGGAACCCACAAUAAGUAUUAAAACCUCUUUGGACCAUGUGAACAAAAGGCAAUGCUUGAAAAGAUUUUAUUUAUCUAUUUUUAGUAAGAUGAUGUAAUUUUGGAUGCAUGAAAAAGAAAAUCAUGACAAUUUCAAUAGAACAGAGAGACUAUAUAAAUCUAAAUUUAUUAAAUAAUUGUAAUUUGAACUUGCCACAAUUAUUAGACUACUAUUGUAUGCAAGUCGCCAAGUUUUAGUGGAGUUUGAUCAAGAACAGAAUUUUGGAAGGCAAAAACAAGAACCAUUCAAAAUUCUCAGGUCAAAAUUCUUAACACAUAAAAAAUAUUAUAAAUUCUUUUGUGGUGUAAUUUGGAUUUUUUUUGGGGGAGAAGGGGGGAGGAGUGGCAGUUUCCUUUUUCCACCCCACUGGUUACGCCAGUGAUUAUGGAGAGAUGCUUGACUAGAAAUUGGAAAAACCAAAAAGUAGGCAGUUGACUUGCAAAGUAGAUGUACUAGAAAUCUGGAAAAACCAAAAAUUACUUGACACUUGAGGUGACUUCCUUAACGACUACACAAUAAGCUAACGUAAUGCGCCUUUUUCUUUUCUUGCAGCUGCAUUACGCCGAGAAUUUCGCUAACAUCAUCAUCAUCAUCCACCUAGGGUGAGAUCUUGCAUGAUCUACUUUAGUAGCUAGAGCCUAGAAAGACUGCUGUUACAUUUUCCAUUUCCUUUUUCUGUAACCGAGACAGAUCUGAGCAUGAAGUGCAUAUCCAUCAAGGGAAACUAGUCAAAAAAUGAUUGACAAAACUUACAAGAACUUAGGAGGUGCCAUUCACUCUCUGAAAUUGGAAUCAGAUUCGAAUGAUAGGGGAAUGAAAGUGGGGAAUGAUAUCAGGGUGAACAUAUUUUUCAGUGAAGUGUUAAGUUUUAAAAGGGGAAUGAUAGAUAGGGUGUUCCGGGCAACAUUAACAGAUUCCUUGGCAAUCUUCAUGAUUGAUAGAGAUAUUAAUACUAGAGUUACCUUGGUUGUGCAAGUCACAGCCAAGGGUCCAUAAAAGUUUAGUUGAAUACAUAAUAACAAAUUUUUUUGGUUCAUAAUAAAUAGAAAUAUAAGAGAAAAAUUGAGUAUCCAAACAAUUAAAAUUUGCCAUGAAGAGAAAUUCUAUCUAUGAAAUUCGCCCCCAAUUUAUUGUGAUUUGGACAAAGUUUUUUAAUUUAUAUCAUGUGUAUAUAAUGAUACCAAAAAAGAAGAGAAAGCAAAUCCAUUAUGAGUGUAUUGUCUGUUUAAUAGCAGCAUAAUUUAGUUGUAACUAAACAACAAGCAGUCAUAAUGUUUCUAGCACUUUAAUAAUCAGAAAAAGGUUAGAAAGCCACCAAGACCUGUCAAAAUCAACAUCAAUAAAAACAUACAAACUUGCACAUUUUUCUUUUUUUUUUUUUUUAGAGAAAAAGCAAGUUAAUCCGUCCAUUUAAAUCCUGCCUAAUAGCAUUACAAACAGGUGAGCAUAUUAUCUUACCAAACAGAUUUAGAAUACAAAUAGCAAUUUUUAAAUAAAAAUAUGAAUGCCAUGUUUCUAGAUAUACAUAUGCAAAUUCAAAACCAACAAUUUAUUUGAUUGCAAAAAUAUUUUUUUAAUCAAAAUUGAAUUUUCUUAUUAUAUUUUGUCGAGUGACACUCUAGGCUAAAAGUCUCAAUGCUAACUUAUACUACCAACUGCAAUCCUUUGACAAUCCCAAUCAUUUUAGCUAGUUAAAUCGACAAAAUAUUAUCAAAUCAUUUAGUCAAAUAAUAAUGUCCAGUUCCAAGCCUAACAACCAUCUUAAACUCUAAUUACAUUAUUUAUCGUUAGGGGCAAUAGAAAAAGGAUAAGAGUACAAAGUCAUAUAGAACCAGUUUAAACAAAAGAUUCUAAAAUUUAAUUUUACACUUCUUUUAUUCUUAGGCUAUCAUUUGCAAAAAUUAAAAACCACGAAAAUAAACUACCUAUCAUGGAUAAAUGCUAGUAAUUCAAAAUAAAGAGAUACUACGAAAUAUUUUUUUUCACACCCUAAAUUGCUGGCCCCACCAAUCAUUUUACACAUCAUCCACCUUAUCCAGUAAAUAAGCACUUUUCACUAUUAAGAAACUUUAUAUAAAUCAAAAUAUCAAAAUAUAAUUAUCUAUCCAUAAAUUAAGAGACUUUAAUUAAUUUUUGGUUCAACAAGUCUCACCAUUUCCUUCGUGAUCAUCGUCUACCUUGGACUUUCACUUGUCAAAUUCUUCCUCCUCUACUCUAGCACUAUCACCCUAUUAUCAAAUAACAAUUUUAGUAAAUAAAAAAUUAAAAUUGGAAUGAAUUUGUACGAUGGAAUUUAUUAUUUUAUUGGGGGGGAAGUAAUUACAAUUUUUUCAUUAUCAGCAUGAAGAUUCUUCAUGUAAUCACCACCCAUCCUCUUGUCAGCUUUAGAGAAUUUUUCCCAAAAAUAAAAAAGCCAAAAAGUAAUUUCAGAAUAAAUAAAAUUUAAAAAAACUAAAAAAAAACACAUUUCUUUAUAUUUAGGGGAAAAAAGUAUUCACAACAUCAUAUACAAACUUCACCUUCCUUCUUUUAUAGGGCAAAAAGAAAGCUAGUUGAAGAAGGAAGCUACGAGAAAAGGAAUAAGCAAAGGUUUCGAAUCAAGAGGUGAAAAGUGACAAAAAAGUAUUAAAUAGUAUAUAUCAGAAAAAGAACGUAAGAGCAAAAAAUCAUGAAUCAUGAUGAUUGGACUAAGCAAGAAAGGAAACAUCAAACACAUCCUUGACCUCCUACAACAAAACCAUUCAUUUAGUUAACUAUGGACAAAUUGAAAGAAAAUUCAUCAACUAUCCAAAAGAGAAAAAAAGGCAGAGUAAACGAUUAGGAUGAAUGAAAAAAAAGAAAGGGACACAAAGUGAAAACUAAAUGAGGAAACUGCAGUAUAGAUGAAGCUUUGUUUAGUUGUCUUUAGUUAGAAAGGAGAAAGGAAAUAAAGUGAACAAAAAAAAAAGAAAAAAAUUGAAGAAGAAAAUUGAAAAUAACUUUUUCAAAAGAGGGAUGUGCCAUGUAUAAAAAAUAAAGGAAAACCACAUGGCAUUCAUUUGGGUUGCUAUAGUAACUCCACUUUCUUCCUAUGGACAAAUUGAAAGAAUAUUCAUCAACUAUCCAAUAGAGAAAAAUGAGCAGAGUAAACGAUCAGGAUGAAAGGAAAAAAAGAAAGGGACACAAAGUGAAAACUAAAUGAGGAAACUGCAGUAUAGACGAAGCUUUGUUUAGUUGUCUUUAGUUAGAAAGGAGAAAGGAAAUAAAGCGAACAAAAAAAAGAAAGAAAAUUGAAGAAAAAAAUUGAAAAUAACUUUUUCAAAAGAGGAAUGUGCCAUGUGUAAAAAAUAAAGGAAAACCACAUGGCAUUCAUUUGGGUUGCUAUAGUAACUCCACUUUCUUCUUAUAUAAUAGGUGUAUAUAGUUGUCUUUAGUUAGAAAAGAGAAAGGAAAUAAAGUGAAAAAAAAAAAAAGAAAGCAAAAUGAAGAAAUAAAAAAUAAAGAUAGCUUUCUCAAAAUGUGCCAUGUGUCAAAAAUAGAAGAAAGCCACUUGGCCUUUAUUGGCGUUACUAUAGUUAUUCCAUUUCUUGAAGCUAUCUUUAUUUUUUCUUUCUUUUUUUUAAUUCACCUUAUUUUCUUUUUUUUUUUUUCUAAUUAAAGACAAUUAAACAAAUCCUCAUCUAGAUUGUAGCCUUCCUCAUUUAGAUAAUACUAUGUACUUCUCUUUUUUUUUCCCUUCAUCCUAAUCACUUACUUUUCUUUUUUUCUCUAUUGGAUUAGUUGAUGCAUUUUCUUUCAAUUUUGUCCAUAAUUAACUAAAUGAAUGGUUUCAUUGCAAGAGAUCAAGGAUGAAUGUGAUAUUUCAUUUCUUGUUUUGUUUAGUCAAAUAUUCAUAAUUCAUGAAUUUCUGCUAUUACCGUCUCUCCUUGGUACGUACUAUUUAAUUUCUUUGUCAUUUUUUGUCUUCUGAUCAGAAACCUUUGCUUAUUCAUUUUCCUGCCGCUUCAUCCAUCAUUUGGCUUUCUUUUCCCCUAAAGGAGGCAAGUUAAAGUCUGUACAUGAUGUUGUGAAUAUUAUUUCCCCCUAAAUCUAAAGAAAUGUGUUUUUUUUUCAUUUUUUUAAAAAUUUUGUUUAUUCUAAAAUUGCUUUUUGGCUUUUUUAUUUCUGGAAAAAAAAUUACUUAAGGCUGACAAGAGGAUGGUUGGUGAUUACAUGAAGAAUCUUAAGCCUGACAAUAACUUCUAGUGCCUUGGCUGUGUAAGGUACCUCUACUAGCCAAAGAAAAGAAUUUUAAGAGAGAAGAAACGAGGGCCGUUAACAAGUUGGAGAAUGGCUAUGGCAGGGAAUAAGGUCACCUCCAGCUUGUUUUAGUGAUUAUUAGGGCUUGUUUUAUUUGCAUAUGAGACCUCAAGCUUUGACUAAAUCUAAAAAUGAUUUUGAUCAUACAGCUAAUCUUUUUUAGGUUGUGGUAUAAUCUAUCCCUUAUGCAUAUAAAUGCUCAUAGUUAUUAUGAAUAUUAGACUUACCCUAUUAUUUUUUUUUGUAGAACUUUUUUUUGUAUCUCUAAUAAUUUCUCUAAACUACUUAUAAAUGCUAAAACUUUGCAAGUUUUCCCAUGUUUCCUAUUAUGUAAAAUAUUGAGCCGUUUGACUUUAGAAACCACGUAAUCUUUAUUUCCUCAUUUUUUUAAAACUAAUUGAAAUAUUUCAUUAUAGGAUAUACAUCUACUUUAUAGUGAGUUAAAAACUUCUCUUUUUAAAAAAAUUGAGAAUGAAUUUUAAAAUUAAUUAGAUGUCUUUCUAUCAAAUAAUUAUAUAUAAAAUAUACGUCUCAUCGAAACUGUGAUGAUUCUACCAUGAUCGAUGUGGAACGAUAAUGACUGUGACCAUAACCACAACCGUUCCUUUGAACCAUGUUUGUAGUCCUUUUUCUUAUCUUUUCCUUGACAAUUCCUUUCCACAUAUAUAAGUAUUAAAAAAAAUAUUUCUUAUCCUUUGAAGUAUACAAAAUAAGUUUUUACACGUUCUUUAAUUUAAAUACGAUAUUGAAAAAUAAAUUGUUUUGGCAAAGAAUAAAAAACAUCCAAAAAAUGAAUGAGAGAAAAACUUAAAGAGGAAAAAUACUUGUCUUGAAGAUUUUAACAUUCAAUAUAGUAUUUUAUACCAACUUUGCUAGGACAAGAAAGGCUGAAAAUGUGGUUGCAUGCAAAAGAAACUACAUGUACGGUAAGAUCAGAGUCUCCUAGAGUAAGGUUGCAAAUAAGUCGAGUUGAAUCGAAUUUUGGCCUAAUUGAGCCGAGUAUUGACUUAAUUUUAUUGAACUCGAGCUCGAGCUCGACGAGCUGACAAUUUUGAAGCUCGAGCUCAAGCUCGAAAUAAUAAAAAUAAUUAUUUUAUUUUUAAAAAAAUAAAUAAAAUAAUAUUUUUUUCUUAAUAAAUAAUAAAAUAUUAAGAAUAUUUAUGUAAUUUUACUAUUAAAAUAAAAAAUAAAAAAAUAUAUAUAUUCGAGCUCACAAGCUGGCUCACAAGCUAACGAGUUUAAUAUUUUGAGCUCGAGUUCGAGCUUGAAUCGAACGGCUCGAUUCGUUUGCACCCCUAUCCUAGUGUCUUGUUUGUCAUCUUGCACAACAACUGCAUUUAUGUUUCUUGGCUCGCUAUAGUAGUAGAGUAUUAGCCAGAUCUUAGUCUUAGGCUUUUAAAACUCAAAAUCUGUAUUAGCAAUCUUAGGCCCUAUUUGACAAGUGAUUUUUUUGGGUGUUCGUCUAAAACUUUCAUCUAAAACUUUAUUAUAGUUUUACUGUAGAAGUUUUUUAAAAAAAUUUUGAAGUGUGUAAAUUUUUGAAUAUUUUGAAAUGUAUAGUUUAAAAACUUUGAGAAGUUUUUUAAGGUUAAUGUAACUAAAGUUUUUAAAAAACUAGUAGCACACAAACUUGGCAAAAAACUUAAGUGCCAAGCAGGGCCUUAGUCUUAGGCUUUUAAAACCCAAAACCUAAAAUUUUCUCUCCUCCGGAAAGCAAAGCCUAACUCAAAACCUAAGACCCUAUUCGUAUUGCCAUUUUUCUCCAAAAUUUUUUAUAUUUUUUGUGAAUAUAUUUUUCAAUCACCUUUUUAUCUUACAUAUAUCAAAUCACUACAAUACAUUUUUUUAAAAAAAAUUCAGAAAAUCGCAAUCCAAAUGGAUUCUUUCUCCACUGAAAACAAAAUUGUAGGUCAAUUUAUAGAAUUUCUAAAGGAAUCACCUCAAGUUACAUCUCUUUUAAACAACUUCGCAUGUGGGUCGGUCAUAGUUAUUAAACUCGGCUCGGAAAGGAACCCGACGAAGGAUAUUGGUCAACGGGUCACUAGUUCAAUUAGUAGAUGAGUAAUUGAACCAGUGGGUCAGUAAAUAUAUUUAAAUAUUAUGUUUUAUAUUUUUUGAUAGAAGAUAUAUGAUAUAAACUGUAAUAAACAAUGCCAUAGCAAAUGCUCAUUUAAUUCAAUUCGUAUAAGAAUUAGCAAGACAUAAAUUUAUUUAGUAAUCUACCAAAUUUCAAGUGUAAAAUUUUAUUUGUGUUUAGUGUAAUUAUCCAUCUUAUUUAUGAAUUUUAAGUGCAAAAAAUUAUUAAAAACAAUAUUUAUCUUUAAAAUGAAUUACGCAAUAUGUUAUUUUUUAAAUCCAUCUUAUAACUUAUAGAGUUUGGGGGUUCAUAAGUUUUUAUUAAAAGAUUCCAAAUAAAUUUGUUUCAAAGAAAUAAAAAAAAUAAAGAUAGAAUUGACAAAACAUCAUAUAUUAUAAGAAAGCUACUCAACUAAUGUUUGGCAAGUGGUUUGGUGGUGAACAUAUUGUAGAUACAUGCUGAAGGUCCCAAGUUCAAAUCUUAGCAAAAGCUUACCAAAAUUUUUCCACAAAAGCCAGUUCUUUCACAAAACCAGCCGAGUUCUCGGUUUAAUCCGGUUGAACUGCCAGAUCAUUGACCAGUCAACAGGUUUCAUACUUAAACAGUUCAAUUAGAAACUCAGCCCGGCCCAAUGGUAAAAUAGAGCAAAAGGAUCGAAGAGGCAGAGAUGAGGCAAAAAAUCAAUCCAAGAUGCUAAAGGUAAUGAUUAUGUCAAGGUUUUAUGUAGCCCCGCGUGAAUGGUCCAGCGGAAGUCAGCUCUCACAGGGACCGAGAGGUCACGAGUUCGAGCCUCCGCUCUGCUGGAUUCCUUCGCGCACUUAUCGUGCUAGAGUCGGGUUGGGGCGCCGGGCCUGGGUCACAGGGGAUUAGUCGAGCCCCGUAAGGAUUGACCCGGACACUCCCGGGCCUGGGCAGCAGGGGAUUAGUCGGGCCCCGUAAGGAUUGACCCGGACACCCCUGUGUCAACAAAAAAAAAUGUCAAGGUUUUAUGUAUAUUUGUGGAAAUUUUUUGGGCUAGUUGCCCUUAUCUAGCCAGAGAUGAGGCAAAGUGUCGAGGCUGAAAAGAGAUUGUCGCAAAUUCUGGAGGACAAGGGCUUGCAGGUUACGAAUGAAACUUAUGAUACCAAAAAUCAAUCUGAGAUGCUGAAGGUAAUGAUUAUCUCGAGCAUUUAUGUAUAUUUGUCGAAAAUUUCUGGCUAGUUGUCAUUAUCUAGCCAGAGAUGAGGCAAAUUGUUAAGAAGGCUGAAAAGAGAUUGUCGUGGAUUUUGGAGGACAAGGGCUCGAAGGAGUAUAGAGUGAACUAAAUGAGGAAACUACAGUAUAGAUGAGGGUUUGUUUAGUUGUCUUUAGCCAAAAAGGAGAAAGGAAAUAAAGUGAACAAGAAAAAGAAAACAAAAUGAAGAAAAGAAAAAAUGAAGAUAACUUUCUCAAAAGAGAAAUGUGACAUGUGUCAAAAAUAAAUGAAAUCCACUUGGCAUUCAUUGAAAUUGCUAUAGUAACUAUACUUUCUUUUUAUAUAAUAGGUAGAUAGUUGUCUUUAGUCAGAAAGGAGAAAGGAAAUAAAGUAAACAAAAUAAAGCAAAAUAAAGAAAAGAAAAAAUGAAGAUAGUUUUCUCAAAAAAGAAAUGUGUCAAAUGUCAAAAAUAAAAGAAAGCCACUUGGCAUUCAUUGGAAUUGCUAUAAUAACUCCACCUUCUUCUUGUAGACAUGUAGGGUUGAAUUUAGGAAGCUGGAGAAGGACCAUGCAACUUCAAUUAGUUUGGAAGUUGCAUAAGCAAAGCACUGUGCUCUGUAAACUGUACAAAAUGCAGGCUGAGAGGAUAGUUGCUUAUACUGAAACAUGGCUUUAUACCCUAAACCAUUACAAGAAUGCAAGUUGCGUGGACUAGGUUGAGAGGUUCAUAGCAAAGAUGGCAAAGGCAAGUUUAACCACAAACCAUCUCCACCUGCAAAAAUAUGAAAAGAUUUAAAGAUAUGUGGAAGAGAUAAAAUUUUAGGAAGUAAAUUAGCCUUUUAAAAUUACAUGUACUGGGAUAAUAUCUCUAAGAUCUUACAGAAUUAUCUCCUUUCAAUUCUCACCUGAAACACACUUGAGCUAUUUCCAUGGAUGUGCCAUUUUGGCUUAUUUGAAUCAAAUGCAUAAUACUUUAGGUGCACAUGGUUAUAUUAUCCCAAAACUAAUUCUUUUGUCCAAUAUUUAUUGUCAACAUCAUGUUACAAUAUUUGCAUAUUUUUCAUUUUCUUGAAUUUUUAUAAUAGAUUAUUUAAAGUCAAAGAUGUAAAGAUUUUCACACGUACGUCUACAAGCUGUGAGGAGAAUCAAUAGCUCGAACUCUGACAUACAAAUAUUGACAGUAUCACAUUUUAUUAAGUUCAUUGUAUAAAAAUUACAGUUUGUUAUACGCAAAACAACGUUGUUAAAAAUCAAACGAGGGAACAACAAACCGUGUUUAUAAAGAGUAGUAAAGGAUUAAAUUAUAAAAUCAAUUUCCAGAGGGACUUUAGAGUAAAUUAAUCGGCUUAUCAAUUCAUGUCAUUCGAGGUCACGGGUUGUGAUUUGUAAUCAUAACUACAAAGAUGACUGAACAGAAGACCAAAUGAAAGAAAGAAGAAUCCACUACUAACCACGUAGAGACCGAUGGAGGGUUAAUCAAUUCACGUAUUUGAAUGAACUGAUGUUAUUAUCAGUGCAAUAAUCUUUUAGCCAAGGCAAAUCUUUACUAUUUUAGAAGUUAUAAAUGAAAAAAUUCAUUUAGUGAAAUGUAAGUAACAUUUUGAACAAUUUUCUCUAAAAUAUUUGUUCUUGUAAAGAUUAGAGCAAAGGUUAUUGUAGUAUUUAGAUAACUAUAAAGAAAUGCAUUACUCUUUCUUGCACUAUCAAUAUAAAAAUAUUUCUACACUUGUAGUAGAAGCAAAACACAUCACCACUAUUCAAAUUUAAAUUCGCUCUCUUUUUCUUUUUUUUUUGUAUAUUGGCAUACACUUAGUCUCACGAGUAUAUUAAAAAUAUAAAUUUCAAGCAUGUAAGAAACUAUAAGAAAGAUUAAUUCGAGAAAUUAACUUUAAAUAGCUCAAGCAGCACCAGGUAGGCAGAGUAAAUUUUUACCAUUUUAAAAGAAAAAAAUGAAAAAAAAAUUCAUUUAAUGAAAUGUGAGUAACAAGUUGAACAAUUUUCUCUAAAAUAUUUGUUCUUGUAAAGAUUAGAACAAAGGUUAUUGUAGUAAUUAAAUAACUAUAGAGAAAUGUAGUACUCUUUCUUGCACUAUCAAUAUAAAAAUAUUUUUCUACACUUGUAGUAGCAGCAAAACACAUCACCACUGUUCAAAUCUAAACUCUCUCCCCUAUUUUUAUGUUUGUAUAUUUGCAUGUACUUUGUCUCACAAGUAUAUUUAAAAAAUUUUGUCAACCAUGUAAGAAAUUGUAAGAAAGAUUAAUUCGAGAAAUUAACUUUAAAAAGGUUGAGGGGCACAAAGUAGGCAAGAGAGAGAUGCUAGUAGUUAGGUUUGUAUAACUUGAAGUAGUUCAAUUCAACUCAGAUCUAGUUAAUUUUCUUUCUUUCUUUUUUUAAGUGUAAAUGAGAAGGUUCGAAUUCGAGAUAUUUCACUUAUAUUUACUCCCUCCUCGGAACCACCCAAUCUAUCCCUUCUCUCGAUGUGGUUUGGUUUGUAUCAUACUAACUACAUUCCAUAGCACUUGCUGCUGCCUUUUGAUUUGAGGAAGACCCGCAUGAAAUUAAACUACAAAGUAGGCUAGCUCGUCAUGUUCCCUGUCCAUUUAUAACCCAUAUAAAUGGAUCGGACUUAAAAUCAUAACGAACUUGACAUUGAAUCAAUCCAUCAACGUUGGUUUUCUCCCUUCAGUGUAAAGUUGAAAUUAAACUGAAAUUGGAAAUCAAUUUAGAUAAUUCACGCAGUUCAUCAUUCUGUGUAUUUUCAUAUUUGGUAUAAAAACUCAAAAAUAAAAUUGUGGCUAACUCGAAAACAAUAUCAGGUUUUGGUAAUCAAUCGUCUCCAUCUUGAGUAAUUAAAUUAAUAUUUAACAUUUUUAUCAUGUGAUUUAUUAAGUUAUUCAUAUCAACACAAAGUAAUUGCUCAUAAACUUUAAAGACACACCAUUAUAUGAAUAUCAUGACAUGUAUCUAUAUAAAUUGACUAUGGUAUGAACUAAGCAUACAUACAUAUUUCUUAAUAAGUAAUAAAGUAUUAGACAUUAUGUUGGAAAAGGGGUACCAGUACAGACACACAAUAACAAAAUUAAUUCAGGACAAAUUACUCUUUCUCCAAGUACUAGUUAAAAUAGGAACAAACUAAAUUACCGUUGAUAUCAACAGUAAUAAUAAAAUGCAGAAAAAUAAAAGGCACAGGACACUAAAAAUUUUUAUGUGAAAAAUCCAAGUUGGGAAAAAUCACAAGACUUAAUCUAGUCAAAAAAAUCUACACUGUCAUAGUAAUGGGAAUACACGUGUUUACCCUAAACAUCUGGAUGACAACAACAUCACCAACAACAACCAAGUGAAAUUACUACAAAUUUAUCCCUUAAAAACUACAACUAUCAAAGAAGUGGGUUUGGAAAAAUAUCACCAAAUGAAAAAAAAAUUCAAAAUCCAAACCAUUACAUGGAUAGAGUUUGACAAAAGGAUCGUAUGAGUAAAACUUUAUCUUAAUCGAGUUUCAAAUUACUAUCCAAUCAAAACCUUGAAAUUUUUCUCUCUCUAGAUUCCUUUCUUCCAAUUCACUUUUUCUCUCUCUUCGUUUCUUUUCAAGGUUGGCGGCUGGAACAAUGCUUUCUUCUUAUUUCCAAAAGGAAACCCACGGUUGAAUCAAGUCAUGAUGACUUGGUUUCUCUACUUGAUUUGGUCAAAGUUGACCAAAUUAAUUUGAUGUGUGGGCCUAAAUUGUAACUUAACCCACCAAAUAGGUUGGAUCACCAGUCCAACAAUCUCUUCGUCCAACUCAUUUAGGGGGCUCUACCAAACUUGCUUCCUGUCUAUAAGGAAAGAGUUUCUCACUAAGCAAUAUCUUAAUCAACAUGUCAGUACCAUUAUCAUUAGUAUGAACUUUCUCAAGUGUCAACAAUUUAAAAUCCAACAUAUCCCGAAUCCAAUAUUAUCUCACAUCAAUGUGUUUAGACCGAGAGUGAAAUAUAAAAUUUUUAUACAAAUGAAUGACACUCUGACUAUUACAGUGAAAACUAUACUUCUCUUAUUUUAUACCCAACUCCUGAAGAAAUUUCUACAACUAAAAAGUCUUUUUGCAUGCUUCAGUGAUUGCGAUAUACUCUCCCUCUAUACUGGAUAGGGUGAUACACUUCUGCAACUUAUUUUGUCAUUACAUUGCUCCCUCUACAAAAAUAUCAAAUAUCCAGAUGUGGACGUCUUAUUGUCGAGAUCACCUACAAUAUCUAUAUCAAUAUACCCAUCUAGCAUGGUCUUUCCAUUGCCGAAACACAAACACAAUUUGAAAGUUUCCUUAAAAUACCUAAGGAUCCACUUAAAAGCAUUUCAAUAUUUCUCACCAAAAUUAAAAAGAUAUCGGCUAACUACCUCAACUGCAUGAGCUAUAUCAAGUCUAGUGCGAAUCAUAGCAUACAUCAAACUACCAAUAGCCGAUGCAUAAGAAAUUUUUCUCAUGUCUUAUUUAUCUUUCUCACUUUUAAGAGACUACUUAAUGUUUAAUUUGAAGUGACCUACAAGUAGAGUAGAGAUUUCUUUAACUUUGCUCAUGUUAAAUUUGUAAAACAUUUUUUCAAUGUAUUUUUCCUGAGAUAACCACUAUUUUUUAUUUUCAUUCCAAGAAUUUAUCUAGUCGGACCCAAAUCCUUCAUUGCAAAGGAUUUACUUAACUCUUUUUUCAACUUGUCAAUUUUCAUAGCAUCACGGUCAAUAAUUAACAUAUCAUCAAUCUACAGCAACAGAAUAAUAAAAUCACCAUUAGAAAAAUUCUUCACGUAGACACAAUGAUUAGUUAUAGUCCUAUGGUACUCGUGGUCCGUCAUGCAUGAGUCAAACUUCUUGUACCACUGCCUUGGCAUCUGUUUCAAUUCAUACAUAACUCUUUCUGAAACGGCAUACAAGGUUCUCUUUGUCACUUUCUUUGAACAUUUUCGGUUAUUCCAUGUAAAUUUCUUCUUCUAAGUCACCAUGUAGGAAGGCAAUUUUUACAUCAAGUUAUUCAGUCUCCAAAUUCAAGUUGGCCGCAAUACCAACAACAACCCAGAUUGACGAUAGUUUUAUCAUAGGAGAGAAAAUUUUCUCAAAAUCUACACCUUUCUUCUGACUGAAUUCCUUAACAACCAAUCUUGUUUUGUACUGUGGCUGUGCAUUGUACUCUUGAGUCUUCAACCCAUAGACCUAUUUAUUUUUUAGUGCUCUUUUGUUCUUAAGCAAUUUCACCAAGUCAUAGGCGUGAUUCUUAUGUAAGAACAUCAUCUCCUCUUGCAUAGCUUGCAAUCAAUUUCUUUCCUCUUAUACUCUAGAGUCUCACUACAGGAUUUCGGUUCCCAUCCAUCUAUUAGCAGCACAUACUCAUUAGGAUUAUAUCUGUUAAAAAGUCUCCUCUCUUUGGUAGAUCUCCUAAACUCGUCUUGUGGUGGUAAUGGUGGAGUUGGUGGUAUCUCUUGUUCAAGUUAUCGGUGGCAAUAUCAUCACCAUCAAUAUCCGGCCUCUGCUUUAUGUUAGCUCCUUCAUGAUCAAAAUCAACUGAUGCUAGAACUGUAUCUGGAUUUGAACUAGCAGGAAUGCCAUAUGAAGAUCUUGGCUUGUCAUUUUUAUCAAUGUCCUCAAUGGUUUGAUCUUUAAGGAAGACAACAUCUCUUCUUCUAAUCACCUUCUUUUCAACAAGAUCAUAUAGUCUAUAGCCAAAAUCUUUAUGCUAUAAUCCAAGAAAAUAUAUUGUUUUGAUUUUACAUCAAAUUUUACCCCUCAUCUAUUGGAAUAUGGACAAAUGUCUGACAACAAAAAAUUCUCAAGUAUUUAAAGAAUACAUCUUUUCCUAUCCAUACUCUCUCUGGGAUAUCACCAUUCAAAGGAGCUGAUGUAGAAAGAUUAAUCAAAUCAACUGCAGUUCUCAUUGCCUUACACCAAAAGGAUUCUGGCAGUUUAGCAUUAGAGAAUAUAUAUCUAACCUGCUCAGUGAUAGAUCUGUUUAUUCUUUCUGCUACUCCAUUCUUUUGGGGAGUAUUUGGUACUAUCUUUUCUAAUUUGAUCCUAUCGGACUUGCAGUACCUUUUAAAUAGUCUCCUAUACUUACCAGUAUUGUCAGCACGAAUACACUUUAAUUGGUUGCCAGUCUCCCUCCCAACUUUGCUGUGAAAGGCUUUAAACACCUCUAAAACCUGAUCUUUGGAUUUUAAAGCAAAAUACCAAAUUUUCUAGCAAAAUCAUUAAUAAAAGUUACAAAAUAAAUGGCACUACCAAGAGACUCAUCUUUCAUAUGGUAAAUAUCAAUGUGCACCAACUCCAGUGGAUUCAAUUUUCUAGAUGGAGAAAUAUUUUGAAAUACAGUACUAUAUUAUUUCUCAUAAAUGUAGUCAACAUAAGGUUUAAGUGCAUUACCUUUAAUUUCAAGUAGGAAUUGCUUGCGAACAAGUGUCUGAAUCUCUUUUUCACUCAUGUAUUCAAAUUGCCUAUACCAAAGGUCAAUGGAUGAAUCAGAAACUGCAUUCACUUCUCCCAUCUCUAACUUGGCUUGCAUCAAGUAAAGGGUAUUCUGCUUCUUUUCUCUAACAAUAACGAGAUUUCCUUUGAUGAAUUUUCAUUUGCAUCCACCUUAUGAGUUAUGAUAACCCUUAUUAUCAAACUUUCCCUUAAAAACAAGAUUAAGGUAGAUAUCAAGAACAUAUUGAGUAUUUUUCAAGACUAACUGACGCCCAGCAUCUAUGUCUAAAUAUAUGUCACCUAUGCCAAUAACUUUACACGAGAUUUCGUUUCUCAUCCUAACAUAGUCAAAAUCUCCUUCAAUGUAAAUUGAGAAGAAAUGAUAGGUAAUAUUCAUAUGACAUCAUCACAGAACAUAAUCAUAUCAUCAUGGCCUGCCACAAUUGUUGUAGUCUCUUUAUCACCUUUUUUCUUCGCCUUGCCUUUUUUCUUUUUCUCAACUUGUUUCCUUUUCAAGAUUCUGCAUUCCUUCAUAUAAUGCCCUUUCUUUUUGCAAUAAAAGUAUGCAUUAUUUUUUAUGACUUAGGCUUGCCUUUGGAUUUGUCAUUUCUAUUGUGGGGUCUUCCGCUUUUGCUUUUCCCUCUUCCUUCUUUGUUUUCUAUCACCAGGGGUUUGGAUUCAUUCACAAUUUCUUAUUCCUUUCUCUUGAGUUCUUCAUUCAUCACAGUCUCUUUUGUUGUAUUCAUGGUCAACACACUGUCCGAAACUGAAUUAUUGACAAAAAUCACCAUUGCCUCCCAACUAUCCAUCAAAGAACUGAAUAAUAACAAAACUUGCACCUCAUCAUCCAAGUUCACAUUCAAUGUAGCUACUUGGUUUAUCAAGCCUUGAAAAUUGUUCAGAUGUUCAGUCAUAUCUUUACUAUCUUUUUGUCACAUCCGAAUAAUCUGUUUUAAACAAGAGGUUUUAUUUAAGCCAGUCUUUUUUUUUGUACAUAUUUUCUAACUUUUUUCAUAAUACAUCAGCUCUAAUUUCAUUAGUCAAUUGUUGGAAAAUACUCUAACCAAUCUACUUUUUAAUAUUACCAGUAAUUUUUCUAUGCAUAACAGUCCACUUUUUAUCACUCAUAUUACUUGAUCUACCUUUAUCCCCUAGAACAGGUUCAAACAAAUCUUUACAAUACAAAUAGUCUUCCAUUCUAAACUUUCAGAUCGAAUAAUUAGUUGCAUUCAAUUUUAUUGUACAACCACUAUUCGAAUCAUCUAUUUUAACUAGUAUAAAUAAGCAACCUAACCUAGCUGCUUUAAUAUCACUUGGUUGAAAAAAGAAUACCAGUGCAAACACACAAUAUCAAUUAAUUUAGAACAAAUUACUCUUUCCCAAAUACCAGUUACAAGAGGAACAAAUCAAAUUACCAAACCACGAUAUCAACAGUAAUAAUAAAAUACAGAAAUAUAAAAGGUACAAGACACCAAGAUUUUUAAUGUAAAAAAUCCAAAUUUAAAAAAAACUACGGGAUCUAGUCUAGUAAAAAAAAAUUUCACUAUCACAGUAAUGGAAAUACACAGGUCUACUCGAAAUAUUCAGACAACAAUAUAAUAUUACUAACAUCAACCAAGUGAAAUUGUUACAAAUUUAUCUCCCAAAAAUUACAACUAUCAAAGAAGUAAGUUUGGAAGGGUAUUACUAAACAAAAAGAAAAUUCAAAAUCCAAAUUAAUAGAUAGAUAGAUAUUAACGAGAUGAUCGCAUGGAUAAAAUUUCGUCUCAAUCAAAAUUCAAAUCACCAUCCAAUCAAGAGUUUAAAGCUUUUCUCUCUCUAACUUGUUUUUUCCCGGUUCACUUUUUCCUCUCUCUUAGUUUCUUUUCCAGGUUGGCGGCUGGAACAAUGCUUUCUUCUUGUUUAAAUUUUGUGUAUUACUCAAUUAAUAGUUAUUGAAUCAUAAGGAAGCAAAAAAGAACUAAAACAUGAUAUUUAUGAAUGAGAAAUAGCAAUAUAAUAAAAAGUGGGACAGAGAGUGGCACAGGGUGUGGGACAGAAGAUCCGUUACGCUUAUUUUUAAAAUGAAACCCACGGCUGAAUCAUCAAGUCAUGAUGACUUGGUUUUCCUCCUUUGAUUUGGUCAAAGUCGACCAAAUUAAUUUAACGCGUGGGCCUAAGUUGUCACUUAAUCCAUCAAAUAGGCCAGACCACAAGUCCAACAAUUGUUACUACCUUAUCUAUAUUACUUUGAAUUAUGUAGUUUUUUGUACGAGAAUAAUCAAUAAUUAAUUUGUAUAUGUAUAUAUGUGUGUGUCUAUAUAUAUAUUAAUAAUAGAUUGUAACAUAGGCGUAUAAAUCAUUAGGCAUAAGAAUAAACAACAACAAUGUUAUGUAUGCAGAAAAUUAAAUAAGAGUAAAAGUUCGUUAAAAAAUAAAAUCCAAAAUAAAAAAUUUGAUAUCAAAUUUGGAAUUUUGAUUUUAAACAAAAUUGAAUCCAAUCAAGUUUACUAAGAUCGAUUGACCAAAUUCAAUUUGAUUCAACAGGAAAUUCUGUUAGCCUUGUCCAGAGAGUUCGUGGAAGCCAAUCACAAUCUACCGACAGCGGAUAGGAGGAGUCCAGAUGUUAAUAAGCUCUAGUUCUUUAUUGACAUGCUUAAACAAAAAUAAUAGACUAUAAAAGUACAAGGACAAUUAUUGUUGUAUCAUUGAUAAUAAAGUUUUUUUAGUGAUUAGACAAAUAACAUGCUCACAGCAGAAGUAGUAAUAACAUGGUGGCUUCACUAUUAGGCCACAUUACUCUUCUGGGUUUUUUCUUUAGUAAUAACAUGGUGGCUUGGAUAUUAAACUUAAACACUGCCCUUCACAGCAGAACUAUAGCCGUUCUGUUUGUCAUUGUAUCGAUCGUAAAGCAUGAUCCCACCAUAU
rnacentral:lncRNA from 1 species